UCUGAUAGAAAAAGGGGUCGCCUUCUUGUGCCGGUCUACCUCCUUUCACAUGUUAACGUGCACUUGUAAUUUCUUUUGUUCGUUCUAACUAUAACUGUGCUGCCCAUGAUUUAGCCAAACUAGUUAGAAAUAAGGUGUGUGUGGGGUGGAUGAAAGAUCCACCCGUAGAGAUUGUUGAUAUUUUUGUAAAAAAUUAAAAAAUACUUUUAUAAAAGAUAAUAUGAUGAUCACCUUACAAUAAAGAGUACUUUGAUGUAAAAAAACUGAAAAACACCGUCGACGAAAACUUAAGCUAAAAAUGCAACCGAAAUAACAAGAUUAAGAAAAGGGGAAUAGGAGGAGAUUACCUCAACCAACUUGGGACCUAGAUUUGCUGUCCAAAAAAAAAACUUGGGACCUAGAUCCAAGAGUUUUAGGGAAAGAAAUUGGAGAUUGGGCAGGAAUUUGGUGAUUUGAGAGUGAGAAACGGCGUCCUCUGUUCGUCGGCUGAGGAAGGAUUUUGGCUCCCGGUGAGACACGGCGUCGCAUAUGGCUGUGGCAUCUCAUCCGCUGCUCUCUUGCUCCUUCUCCGUCGCCUCCCCGAACCAUCCAAUCCUUCGACUCCUUCGCCGCCCUCUGAAAUCCUCCACCUCCAAAUGCUUCCUCCAUUCCCCGCGGCGGCGUCACCAACCAGUCGCCCGCCAGCCAGACGACGACGAGCAUGACGGAGAAGAGGAUAUGUGGAGCCCGGCUACCAGCCCCCCGAGAGCCCACCUCGUCGACACCUUGGAUGACGAAAAGGGCGGCCAUGGAUGGGGUCCACCCAAUGGCGACGGCGCAGAGGAGGGAGAGCAGCUCCAAGAAUACGAGGUGGGUGAGUGGGAUCCACCUGCCAGCCCGUCCCGAGCGCAGGCCCAGGAACAGCAUCGACAAGAUGAGGAGGAGGAAGAGGAAGAAGAAGAAGACGGCGGGGACUGCCCGUGGCUGGACCCGAGCUACUUGCGAAGUCAAGAAGGGGCAAGCACCAACACCACUGCGGCUAUGGAGGAAAUUCUCGCCUUUGCGAGGAGUCCAGUGGCGGCGGACGGCCCUGGGCUCGCUGGGUUCUUGGCUGGUUACAGCCGCGGUGCACUCGGCGAGGACGAGUGCGUGGAGUUGAUGAGGAGGAUGGGUGAGGAGCGCCUGGCGUUGGGGUGCCUCCACUUGUUCCGGUGGAUGCGGGCGCUUGAGGAGCGGCCGAUUUCGUUGUCGCCGCAGGCAUGGUUGGUGGCUCUCGUGGUGCUUGGACGGGCACGGAUGGCUGAUGAAAUCUUGGAGAUUCUGGGAAGGGAGAGGGGAUUUCGUGAGGCGGUUCUGUACAAUGCUGCAAUGUCUGGUGUUGCCUACUGUGGAAGGUGAGCACUGUCUUGAUUGGUCUGACAGAGUGAUGAGUGAUCAUAUUAAUUUCAUUCAUGCUAUCACUUUUGCAAGAUUAAUUAGGAGUUUGUAGUUACUUAUUGACCGACUUAGAUCGAAGUGACUUUUAUCUACUUCCCUAUUUCUAAAUGGCAUUUCCAUUAACCUUUUCGUACAAUACAAAAGAAAAAAGGAUUAAGCAUAUUGUUAGUUGUUGAUCAACAGAGGAUCCAAGUAAGUUUGAUUUGCUCCACUAUCUGUAAAUUCUUUGGUAUGAACUUCAUUGUUAUCUUGGGAUGCAAAUUAAGAAAACUACGGAGCAACAUAUUUAUAAUAGACUGUGCUAGCAUGAGAAUUGUUUAUUGAUAGGUUUGCAUAGUUUCAUGUCUUAUGAUUUUUGCUCUGUCCUAACUAAGCAUGAACACCAAUGGAGAUUCUAACAUGCUACAUUUCUUCUGUGGUAAGCUAUGUAUUAUUUGGUGUGAUGAACAUUUUUCUACUCGCUCCAGAUAUGAUGAUGCCUGGAAAAUAUUUGAGAGUAUGGAGAAGAACAAUGUCCAACCUGACCACAUAACAUCCUCAAUCAUGUUAAUGGUAAUGAAGAGGCGCAAAGCAUCAGCCAAGGAUUCAUGGGAGUCCUUCCAACGAAUGAACAGAAAAGGUGUCAAGUGGAGCUUGGGUGUCUCUGCUUCUCUAAUUAAGAUAUUUUGUGAUGAGGGGCUGAAGAAAGAAGCACUUAUCUUCCAAUCAGAAAUGGAGAAGAGAGGAAUUCUGUCAAACACGAGCAUUUAUAACGCAAUAAUGAAUGUAUAUUGCAAAUGCAGUCAAAUUGAAGAAGCUGAGGGCCUCUUUGCUGAGAUGAAAGACAAAGGCUUAAAACCAACAAGGGUGACUUAUAAUAUCCUUAUGGAUGCUUACAGUAGAAGAUUGCAGCCAGAAGUUGUUGAAUCGUUACUUCUGGAAAUGCACGAUUUGGGAUUUCAGCCAAAUGCUAGGUCAUACAGCUGCCUCAUAAGUGCCUAUGGGCGGCAGAAAAAAAUGAGCGAAAAGGCUGAAUAUGCUUUCCUGAGGAUGAAGAAAGGUGGCAUCAAGCCAACAUCUUCUUCGUACACAUCACUGAUUUGUGCAUAUGCAGUGAGUGGACAGCAUGAAAAAGCCCACACUGCAUAUUUCGAUAUGAAAAGAGAAGGGCUUAAACCUUCCUUAGAAACAUAUACAGCUUUGCUUGACAUGUUUAGGAGGGCUGGUAACAUAGAGAAGUUAAUGGAGACAUGGAAAUCAAUGACCGAUGAAAAGGUUGGAUGCACUAGAGUCACAUUUCACAUGGUACUUGAUGGUUUGGCGAAACAUGGGUUGUAUGUUCAGGCAAGAGAUGUAAUAUGUGAGUUUGGAAACAUAGGUUUACCUCCUACGGUGAUGACCUACAACAUAUUGAUGAAUGCUUAUGCAAAGGGAGGACAGCAUUACAAAUUGCCCCAACUCCUGAAAGAGAUGUCUACUCUGGAACUAAAACCAGAUUCAGUUACAUAUUCUACAAUGAUAUACGCAUAUGCUCGCGUCCGCGACUUUUCGAGAGCAUUCUAUUACCACAAGCAGAUGGUUCGAAAUGGACAACUGCCUGAUGCUAAGUCAUACAGAAAGCUGUUGAAUACCUUGGAUGUGAAAUCUGCAAGGGAAAACAUAAAGGAUAAGAGUGCCAUUGCAGGAGUUGUAAAAGGAAAAUCUAGCUUAAAACAUAGGAAGGAAAAGAAGGAUGAAUUUUGGAAGAACAGUAAAAAGAGGUCUAUGACCCAAGUUAAUGGAUACCAGAGAAAAAGAUUUUUGUGAUGUUUCACUAAGUGCAAGUUUCAUUGUCUUUACAGUACUCAUCCCUUAUGUUAUACCAUGGUCUCCACGCUUUAAUUCUCUUGAAUUGUUCAGGAUUUUAGGUCAGAAACUAUGAAGCGUGUUAUUAAUUCCAUAAAAAUUCACUUUGACUGUCUGUCUGAUUUCAUGAUCUGAAUACACUUGAUUUUGCAUUUUAAAUUGCUUGAGCUUGAAUAACAUCCAGUUAAAUGAACUUCAGAUGUUUGUUAUUUUUAUCAUGGGAGGACUUUUAAACUGCUCUUUUAGGCUUUCUGAUGUUCAAACUAGAAUAUGAUACAAUGAAAAGAUGCCAUUUGGAUCUUAUGAACAUAUUAUGUUUUCUUUUUGAAUCAAAGGGAAAAUCCCCAGUUCCAUCCAGUUUUAUUUUUGCAGCUUCGUCGUAUAGAGGAAGAUAAUUUUGGUUUCAAUCUGCACAUUCCCUAUUUCCUAAUUAGACAGGAGAAUUUGUAAUCUUCUUCUUUUUCUUUUGAGAAAAGGCAAAGGCCAGCUUUUUUAUAGAACACUUAACAGAGGUCCCCACCGGGGGUUUAUAUUCUUUUUUUCACUAUUGUAAACAAAGACGUGAGAAUGUCAUUUCUCCUACAAGAACACCAGCUACUGUAUUGUUGCACAGUACACAUUGAGAUUGUUUUCACUCUACUAUUCCCUCUGUUCACAAAUAUAAGAUGUUCUACAUAUUUCAAUAUGGAUUACAUACGGACUAAAAUGAGUGAACAAACACAUUAAAACGUGUCUAUAUACAUUUGAUUCAGAAAAAUAUGAACGAAGGGAGUAUUACACAGUGCACAUCGGCCUCAUUUGAAUCCAUAUGGUUCCAGGGAUUGCUUUCCUGUUGCCAUUGAUUUCUUGCAGUCAUGGUGGAAAGUCCAGCAAUAAGGCAGUUUUCAUUGAUGUAAUCUUCAGGGUACUCCUUUUUUGUUCUACUCAUUUCACCAAACCCAUCUAUUUCAUUACUUUCAAUUCCCAUUUGAGACCAACAGCCUUCUAAUCUGCUGGAGGGUCAACCAUGAUCAAUUUGAGACCAACAUCUCUGCAUCCAUGGCUCUUUGCCAAAAUGCUUCUUUCUUUGUUUCAUCUAGAGUUGUAGGCUCCUCUAUUCCCAGCAUACACAAAUUGUCAUAUUCGAGGUCUAGCUCAGAGGGAGACGUGUUAUCCAGCAAAUUCCUGAACGGAACUACUCUGCACACUAUGAAUGAUAUGCACGACCAUUGCACGAUGCCCCAUCCUGCGGUGCGCAGCUGUUUGGUGCCAUGCAUGGACGGCUUGGUAGGCUUGUCGUCCAAAAAUCGUCUGCAGAGCUCAUUCCUGAAUGUUGCGGUAACCUUGUGGUCCAGCACUGAACUCUCUGGGCUCACGUCAUACCCACCCACUAUGCCAGGUUGUGGCACCGUUGGGGUUGACGGAGUGCUAGGAGACUGAGAAGUGUGCUCAGAUCUCAUUGUUACCUCCAAUCGUUAAAGUGGUUAGGAUAGUUUCCGAUCGAAAUUGUUUCCAAAUCUGGUUUUAUAGGGUAUGGUAAGAAAUCUUUGACAUCCAAACACAAUUUGAUCUGAGUCCAACCGAUAGGAUGCAGUAUAUGAUAUGGUAUUACUAGUAGGUAAUUGCUUCAAAAGAAAAUGUGCUUGAAGUAUGACCAAAUUAGAAAGGUUUAAGCAUACAAGCCAAUUGUUUAAUACUACUACACAAAAAAGUGUUUUAAAUUCUUCAUUAUUAUUAUUAUUGCGAUUUUUUUCUUCAUUAGCAGAUAAGAUACGUGCAUCCAGGAAUUUUAAAAUCAGUAGCAAUGUUGUCACACAUGCGCAUUCAAGGUGCUUGGCCAUCAAAAUUGGCGCACACAAAUGUACGAACACAAUCCUCUAACCUAUCGCUGAGUAUUUCAUGAGGCGAAGGGGAGUUUAGUAAUUCAAGCUCCAGAUAACCAAUAUAAAUCUUCAUCAGGUUCAGAAUGCAACGAUAUAUUAUAAACUAAAUUCUCUAGCAUCACGUAUAAUUCAUCUCUCUCUGGAUGAUUCCGGUCUUCCACGAGGAAUACAUGAACUAUAUCUUUCAGUUCAAUCCAACUGCACCCUGGUUCCUUUUUCACAUCGAGACUUCUCAAUCUUGUUCUUACCUUCACAACAUCUUCCCACUUCCCCAAUUUAGCAUAGAUAUUAGACAUGGCAACAUAGGCAGAUAUAUGCUCUGUGCCCAUGCAAAGCAACUUUUCAGCAACUUUCUCACCCAUCUCCAGGUCCAUUGAAUACCAGCAGGCAGUGAGUAGGGCUCCCCAUACCACCUUAUCUGCUGGUACAGGCAUUUCAGAGAUGAACUUCUCAGCUUCUCUGAUGCGUCCAGUCCGACCGAGAAGAUCGACAGCACAGGUAUAAUGCUCGACAGUUGGUACUAGUCCAUAGCUCUCCAUAGAGUGGAAGAACCUCAUCCCCUUGUUAACUAAACCAGCACGAGCACUAGCCAUAAGGAGGCCCAAAAAAGUGAUUUCAUUGGGAUUGAUAUGAUGCUUCAACAUCCUCCCAAAUUCUACUACAGCUUCCAGCCAUUGACCAUUCUGCGCAAGCCCAUUGAUGAGCGAUGUCCAAGAAGCGACAUUUGGUGACGCAAUGCAACAAAAUGCGCUACGUGCAUCACCGACACACCCACAUUUCAAGUACAUAUCCACAAGAGCUGUCCCAACAUAACUAUUGGACUCGAAUGGAGUCUUGCAGAGGUGAGCAUGAACCAUUUUGCCUUGCUCAAUGGUUCCAACAGCAGCACAGGCGUGCAAUAGAGCAGGGAAUGUUGACGGGCUGCAUACAAUUGGCAAUCGACACAUGACCACAAAUAGUUUUAGAGCUCCUGAAGGAUGAUCAUUCUGAACGUAACCAGAAAUCAUAGAAUUCCAUGUUAUCGUGUUUCCUUCAUCCUUAAUUUGCUCAAAUAGCUUCAGUCCAUCCUCCAACUUCCCAUUCUGUAGAAGAACUGACAUCAUGGAGUUUAAGGUCACGAUAUUUCUCCGAGGCAUCUUUUCAAACAUCCUCUGACAAUCAUCUAGUCUCCCUUCAAUACCAUACAGUUUAAUCAUCAGAUUGUACGAACCCGAAUCGUGCUCUGACAUCUUCAAGAAAACUAUCUUUGCUUCCUCCGUCCUGUGCAUUGAUAUAAGCCCCCCGAUCAAUGCAUUGGAUGUGAUCAAGGACGGGUUUUCCAGGUCACUGUAAACCAGCAAGGCAUCACCCACAGCAUCAGAACUGCAGUAAAGAUCCACAAGAGCACUGGUGAUUAACUUGUCGGUAUCAAACCCACUUCGAAUCAAACAGCUAUGAACCGAUCUCCCAAAAUCCAACGCUCCCAUCUUUACGCAUGCCCUCAAAACACUGUCGAAAGUGAAUUCAUUCGGCCUCACUCCAUCAUCGGCCAACAUCUGAACAAAUAACCAAAUCGCCUUGCGACAGCACUCACCCGCUCCUCGUGCAUGGCCCGAUAUAACAGCGGUCCACGCAAACACGUCACGAGGCGCAGGCAUCCUCUCGAGAAGAUCCAGGGCGUCACCCGGCAGGUUGAACCUCACAAGCGCGACGACCAUCGGGCUCCACAUUCGCUCAUUCCUCGGAUGAAGGGAAUCGAAGAGCGUGUGAGAUGCGCGCAGAUCGAAGCACGAGGAGUAGAAGUCGAGAAGAGAGGGCCCCACGACCUCGAGGCUCUCAGACCCGGACUUGAUCACCUGGCAGUGCACCUGUGCCCCGACUCGAAGGAGGCGGCCGCGGGCACAGGCGCCAAGCACCGACGCGAAGGUGGCCUCGCUGGGGCUGACCCCCGAGCGGUGCAUGCGCGUGGCAGCGUCGAGCGCGUCCAGUACGCUCCCGCGCCGCGCGUGGCCCGCGACCAUGGCGUUCCAGGUGACCACAGUCCGGCGCGGCAUUCCGUCGAACAGCCUGCGCGCGGCCACGGUGUCGCCGCUACUGAGCAGAGCCGUGAGCCGCAUAUUCUGCGCGGUGACGGCCGCAUUUUCGUCAGGCUGGGUCGACGAGUGCCGCGGUGAGAGCCUGCUUGCGGUUGCGGGGGUAGCCGGUGGUCUUGGUCUGCGCAAGGCGAAAGGUCUGGACCUGGAGAGCAUGCAGUAGUCUCGCGGAGGCUUGGAGGGCGCUGCGUGGUGGCGAGAUGGCGUGGUACUGGUGGGUAAGGAAUGGCAGAAUAGGGCCGUGCCCCGAAAACGGGUCGAAAGGAGAGAGGUGACGCCGGCGAGUAGCUCAGGAAUUGCCCUUGGGGAACUGCCCGGCUGCCGGAACGACGCCGCGCCGUACGAGCGUAACUUUUUCUCUCAAGAAAAAAAAAGUAUAAUUUUCGUCAUCGAACCUCGACAGUCUAUACAUAAAUGAUCUCUCAACUUUAAAACCCGUCCCUCAAUUAUUGAUACCGAAUUUUUUUCAUCACUCGAGUAAAUCUGAAUGCUUUUGUGUUGACAUGAUUUUUUUAUUAUUUUUUGCUGAAGUGCUGACAUGAUUUUGACUAUACCUCGCCGCAUCAUCGUCCAUCUCACCCUUCUCUUUUACCUCACCCCCAUCAGCUAGUUGUCGAUCUUUUGCCUCUCUUCUCACUCUAACGUGAUCGCUAGGACACCCCCCUCCCCAUUCCACCCUUGCACCUAGCGCUACGAUUCAUGCAAUCGAGUACGAAAUCAUCGUCGGAGCACAUCAGGCCCGGCCGUCGCGCCGGACCUUGCCGCCGACAUAGCCCUCCUCAGCUUCUCCUCCAUGUGCCAUUCGAUUCUAAUCAUUGUGCGUUGCUUCUCCCCCGAGACUCGAUCACUCUCUCAUCUUGUAUAGAGAAAACACGAGUGAUGCUUGUUUCAUGUCGUCGUUGGCGUCGUCUCUUCUGCACACGACCAACAACCUUGACGAGCUAAACCACCAUUUGCAGGCGCUCCACCUUGUUGUCGUAGUAAACCACAUAGAAGGAACCGAUGCAGGAGGCCCUAAAUCGUCGGACACCCAAAUCGUCUUCUCCGGCUUUGGUGACCACCACCACAUCGCGAUCUCCUCCAGCAAGCUCCGGUUCUCCUUGUUGGCUUUCCUAAGCUCGAUGUGGUGCUACUGAAGUCUCGUGUGUCCUACCUGAGCAGCCCCUCACCCUCGAGCUCACCCGUCAUGAUCCCGUUCUCCGUUGCCCACAAUCAUUGCUCCGAUGAUUCCCGCCGCGUCCGAGGAGGCUUACAUGCUCUAGGUAAGCCCCUUGUUGUGUAUCCCCUCUUGCCAAGCCUCCCGGUGUGUCUACUUUGAUGCCCGCAUAGCGCCGCCCUUCGCUGGAAAGUUAUCAUGGUGAAGCUUCGGCCAUCCCGCGUGCCCGCGCUUGCUCCCCAGCUGCACAACUCUCCCCGCUAACUCCCGCCUCAACCGUCGUGCCCACACACUCUCCUCGAUGCUACAAAAUGUGACAGUGCUCCCGAGGCACCCUGGCAGUGAGAAUCCCAGGGUGUACACACAAUUAGAGGACUACUGAUGGGCUUUAUGCAAAUUUGCAGGAGCUUACUCCCUAACCGUUGGAUCUACAACAGGUGCCCCCGGAGGUUACAUAGUCACUCUUCUAAAAUGUGCAAUGAAAUUAAGUUGAUCGAUAAGGGCAUGGAAAAUGGUCAAUAAGACGGUCUUCUCUUAUAUUCCAUGUCAUGUAGAAAAGCCAAACGAACAUGUUAUACAACACAUUGUAUCUCAACAUUAUCUCCAACAAUUAUAGUUUUGUCUAUUUUCUUUUCCGUUUCUGUCUUACACCCCAUCUAUCAACGAGUGGAAGGAGUAUGCGUCUGUGCACGAUGAGACCAGCUUUGCCAGAUCAAUGCGAAAAAAAGUGCGGUUUUCUGAGGCUAGCCGUUUCACCACAUCCAGCCCAAAAGGUGCAAUUCUUGUCACAUGCACCCGGCUCAUCAUGCAACUUAUCUUUCGGAGCAGAAAUAACCCUUAAAUUUGGACAACAAAAAGGCUACAGAACUGUACAGCUCUCAGUAAGAAAACGGUAACCUCCAGUUACGACGAAGUAAAACUAUUUUUCUGAUAUCACAUGUCUAGCUUACUCACAAAAAAAAACGCAUCUCCUGUGAGCUGAAACUACCCGAACAAACAUAUGAUCAUAAUCCUAUUACUGUUAGCUGGUGCAAUUUCCUAAGGCCGUCAUUGCCUCGCUGCUAGUGCAUGACUUGUGCACCGGUGAAUGCUAGGUGCUAUAGCUGCCAAGGUUGAACUGAACCGCUGAUGACCCAACAUAUCAUCAUCUGCUAGAUGCAGAAUCCGAAAGCAAUGGUUGAUGGAUGGAACUCUUGUUCCUACGCAAGUCAGUUAGUAAAUAAUCGAGAUAGGUCCCAGUCGACGACUCCAAAUUCCCUGGGGCUUGGGCGUGUCCGUCGGUUUGCUCAAUUUGCUGGAGAACAUCGAUGGCACUAGGUCGGUACACGUUCCUCAAGUAUCUGAGAGCCAGCACUGGGCCCAUUCCUGCGGCAACAAUCAGCUGGGAAAAAUAUAUUUUCACCAUACAUAACGGUCAGGCCACAGUCAUAGCUAUAAAAGAGUAUAUACAACCAACAACAGUAGACUUACGGCCAUGGUGAUCCAGUAUGAAGGUUGAUUACACAGAUGCCACAUGACAGUGUGCAUCUGAAGGGUUGGUACCGCACUGAGUAUUAGGUUGAUCAUGUAGAAGGCUACAAAGUUCCCCCAUAUGAGGGUGAUUUGUGGACAAGUGAAUGAGCUGAAGACAGAAGACAGAAGACAGUGUAAGUGAAGUACGCUAUGAUGUGCUUGUAGCAACCAACCGUAAGAACUUACUUAGUAUCCAGGGUCACCACAAAAGCCUGCAACCAAAUGCAUCCAGACAGGGCAACCAUGGAGAGUUCCUCCAUGUCACUUUUCUCAUCAGCAUAUGCGUUGAUGGUAAUUAGGAAAACAACAAAUGCCUGAAACCACAAAAGAUCAAAAUCUCGUUAUGGAGAUUAGAUUUUCACGUGCAGCUAAAGCAUGGUGGAUGUAAAGGAUUAUGUGUGAGCCAUGAUUAGGUACUCAUUUACAUACAGGAAAUAAAUCAAGACAGAGAAAAAUCAUUGACUUCAUGUACUAAUUGUGCACACUGCAUUUGGUUAGCACACUGACUGAUAGGUGUAUGUGUUAUUCGCUGCAUAUUCAGGCCUACUGAAAAAUCUCACAAGCUGCUCGUUAACAAGUGGUUUGUUGUCCACAAUAGAUUGCAUUAACAGAGCAAGAGAUACUUGAACAGAACCUUCACUACUACCCACGUCCCAACCACUGCAUCCACUACACUUCAAUAUAUUCUUCAAGAUACCGAAACCCAGAUGAGUACAACAUAAAAAGAAUGAAAGAGUAAUGUUUAUUUUACAUGGUACAGCGAUCGCCCAAACCAUUCAGCAAAUGUACUGCGAUUCAAGAGCCUGGAAACACAAUGAAACUACUCAUAUUAGUCAUGCCACAAAACAGCUACAUAGCACACUUACAAGAAGCCUCAACAAAUAAAAAUGAAGGACAAAAAAAUUCUAUUUGUACCUCCCAGCUUGAGAAUAAAGUAAAAUCUGGGGAUAUCGCAGAACUGUUGCUUCAGAGAUAUCCUUGUCAAAAAUUAUUGUCAUAACCGGAAGACUUGUGUAGAAAACAUUGUAGGCCAUCAGGCUAAUCGAGUUGAAGAUACUAGUUCCAGAAAGCCCUGACGAAAAGGAAAAACUAACAUAGGACCCAGGUCAGCAGUACGUACGUAGUGGCUUCCCAGUAUAAUCAGAGGUACUGCUAAUGGAAAGAGCAUUAGGAGGCUAGACUCACAGAAUCUGUAUAAAGCAAAUCAACAGUGACUUGUAGAAGGAGUACUGCGAAAUAAAUGCUGUGCGAUUGUAUGAAUAUCGACCAUGGACAAGUAUCAACCUUCUGAGAAACUUGAACUCUGCAAAACAAUUGGAAAACAUACAUACUUAGACUUGGUAAAAGUACAUGGAACUUGGAGGUAGAGUUCAACAAAAGGAUAAGAUGGUAGGGAUUCUCAGUACAAAGACAUGAUCCAUUGGACAUUUUCUUUUUCAGAUGAAAAAAUGAUACCAGUUCAUAUGGAUAAACAAAGGUCGAAAGUUCACAAUCUCUGCCUACACUAGUUUGGAAUCUCUAUACAGGGUUCAGAAGACUGGAUGGUCAAAACCAGAGCCAGACAUGGAGUGGGUUUCUAGGACCUGGCUUCAGCUAGAAAGACGAUUAAAUCAGCCUUCAAAAGUUCUAGACGACCACAUAAUGUUUAACAUUGUGUCCAACUUAAAAUAAUGCAAGCAUAAGAACACCUCUGAGCUCAACAAUACAAAGGCAGCACUGACAUACACAUUACAAGGUAAAUGUAAAAUCAGGAAACUCUGUAAAAUUAAUAAAAGAUGCAUACUUCCAAUGCUAUAAUCAGCAGCUCUUGCAGCUUGCAGUCCCUCCCUACCACUAAUCCCUACUCCAACGUUAGCCUCUUGAAUCAUUCUUACAUCAUUACCACCAUCACCAAUUGCUAGAGUUAAAGAACCAGAGGAUUUCAGGAUCCCAACAAGCUGCACAAAUGCAAAAUAAAGUUAGUUUUCAAGUGACCAGCUAAAUAGCAGCAGCGCAUGAUAUGUUAUUGAGUAGCAUCACGAUAACUGCAUCAAUAUUUCAGACUCUUGCUCUCCAUCAGGAUCUACAUUGUCCCUCAUUAAGUAAUUUAUUAACACUAGCAAGAUGCCCGUGCAUUGCACGGAACACCAAGAUGCAUUUAUUUUACAAAAAAUCUGUUGCGAUUGACCCAUGAGGGAGUAAUCUUAUGUGUAAAAACUAACGGCAUCUGCAGGUUUACAUAACUCAGCACGUACACCGCUGAUGCAGAUCCUCUCCGACACUGACCUCCGCAAGCACGUCGAUGGCGCCAUCCGUGUCCCAACAGCUCAGACUGAGCGGAGUGGGGGAGCCGAGAAAGAGGAGAGAUAAGGUGAGGAGGAGUGGUGCGUGGUGGUGGUAGGUGGUCGGACUGAGCGGAGGCAUGGGGAUGGACGACGCCGGCAGCGGCCACCAUGCCAGAUUGUUCCAGAGGCUUCCUUUUUUAAUUGCUCAACAAUGAGCUUAUGUGAGAUAAGGAUGAACGAGGGAAGGCCUUAUAUGCAAAUGUGGAGAGAGGUGCGGGUAUCUUUUUGCAAAAUUGCCAUAGUUUGCUUUCUAUCCGUCGGAUAUAGAUCGGACGGUCUAUAUUGCAGGAUGGCAGGCACACCAUCAUCACCAGCUCGUUUUUUAUAAGAGUAGAGAUAGAGAUAAAGUCCAGUAAGUCCAGUUGAACGCUACGGCUCCAUUUGCAUCGAGGUGGAUUAUAAUAGUAUGGGAUGUCAUUAGUAGAAUCAUGAAAAAUAAAUCAAAAUUGUAAACGAUCUUGCCCAACAUGAGGAUCUUUGGUACCAAAGACGACAUAUACUCAUCCCAUUCAGUUUUUUUAAAAACAAAUUUACAUGUCAAAAGGUAAGAAAACUGUUGGUAGGAACAGCCAAAGGGAAACCUGUGCUUUCUGCAAAGGUGUCAUCCGACAGCAUAUUGCUGUUCUUGACAUCAUGGCCAGCUUAGUGAAAGAUUCCAGUGAACGCUUCAGAAUUAUUUCGAGUGCCCAACCAUCCAAAACGAAUGCAAGAUCCUGCAUAAACAGAUUUGACAUGAAGUACUCCAGUCAACCAAAACAAACUAUGAACCCAUUCAGAAGUAACAUAGUUUAAGUUUGACAAACACACUAAAGAAUAUAAUAGCAAAUAUGAUAUGAUAGUUCAAACUGAAUAUACAAAACGAAAAAAAAAUCCUGAAGAUUUAACAUAUACUCCCUCCGUUCCUUUAUCUUAAAGUGUAUUUGCUUUCUCCUGCUUCUAAAGAUUUGAGUUGGUAGUGAGUUCACUCACCCAUUCACUCUUCCUCCUACCCAUGGGACCCACUGGAUCCAUACCAAAUAUUAAAAGGACCAAAGGAGGAUUGUUUCUUCCCUAUUUGUUUCGUACAUCAUCCCCUCCCAUACGGUGGUUUUUACAUAUGUCAUUCCCUCCCAGUAGUAUCGAAUCCAUCACUGCACAGGACCGACCCGGCCACGAUCACCCCACCUGUGCCUACAUACAACCACACGAACGACAGGAUAAGCGAUGUCGCCCAAGAUAUACCUAGCACAUCUGUUGUCAUCGUCGACGUACGGUGACCACCACAAGAUGUGCGGCUACAUAUCGUCUGAUCCCAGCCGCACACAGGAACACAUACAUGGCGAUGGCGUCGCCGUUGCCGUGGCUGACCAUGCCGACGGCCGACAUACCACCACAUGUGGCACGACACCCGCUCCAUCCGACUCCCCUGAUCCAUCCCCUCCUCCUGAAUUCGUCAGCAAUUACUCUCGAUCCCCUUCUCCAUGCGCUGCUCAAUGGGUAGUCGCACGAGAUGGCCUGGAGGCGGCCUGAGGUCUGUCAUGAUCGCACAUCUAGGGCAGCGCAAGUUCCUCGAUGGACACUGUGCGGUGCGGCUCGACCUUGGCUGACACACUCAUCCACAACAAGCCGCGGCCCAGGAAGCGCUUGGGCGUAGGGGCAGCAGGUGAGCGGUGGAAGCGGCGCAGGGAUUCUGAUGCGGACGCCGAAACAAGGACGGGUGCUUCCAGAUCAGGUGCGAUCUGGUCGUUGCAACUUGCAACUCUGAGCACCCCUUACCCGAUGGCUUCGGUUUCCCCUUCGGGCAUCCAAGCCCAACAGAUCACGACAGUUCCCGCCCCGCGAUCGAGCCGGCGCAUGGCUUGCGUUUGAGAAGUUAAGGAAGAUCCUUCGCCCAACUCCGCAAGUCGGCCAGGGGCUACACCCACCAGGUGCACUAUCGGGCGCCCAAUAUCUACAAAGGGCAAGAAAACCGCCCUGUUCAUGCUUCACUCAUAUCAACAUUUUUUAAGAUGGUUUUUGUGAAACCGGAUGUCUCCAACAACAAAGAUAGGGAGGUAGGACACCUUGCUCACCAUGCACGGUUUUCCUCGAUUUCCUCCUGACGAGCCCGACAAAUCGUGUUAUCUCCAACCUCUUCAAGGCGAAGAUCACUUUUCCUUCCAAGGAUACUCAGGACUCCAUCAAGACCACGCCAAGCAUACCAAGAUGGCGCAUUCAGUUCAACAUCGACCCAGAUGUAGCCAAGCUCAUGACGGACUCAAGGGCUACUGACGGUACACAGUAACAGGGGUAUCCAACCUCCGGGGAAGUCGGUUGCCAGAUCGGCCUUAGGGCGCAGCUAUAGGCCAAGCCCCUCGCCCUGCCAGCAGGCCUCCCAAGAAGACCAGCCCAGCAAGCCGACUGUUGGCCCACCAGGGGCGACCUUAACUUGUACUCCAACAUACAUGUAUCAGUAGAUCUGAUAGGACUCUACUAUGUAAACCGACUUGGGCUCAUGUAACCCUACCCCUCGUUCACAUAUAUAAGGGGAGAUAGAGGGCUCCCAAGUCGGCAUCCAAUCUAUGUCAAGAUCUCUCAUACGAGACACCAAUCAAUACAAUCAGACAUGCAGGAUGUAGGGUAUUACCUCCACCGCGAGCCAAUCAAUACAAUCAGACAUGCAGGAUGUAGGGUAUUACCUCCACCGCGAGGGCCUGAACCUGGGUAAAAUCGUUCAUCUCAUGUGCACACCAUUCUGAUCCUCUAUGCGUACUCCGCCCCAUGAGCAACCCUAUCAUGGGGUUUGCCUGUAUUAUGCACCGACAGCCACGGUGCUGACCCCCUUCCACACCGUCAGACGCCGAUUGCAUCAACCUCAUCUUCCCCCAUGUCCUCCACCGAUGAUCUACCAGCAAAGGCGGUUACUACAGCCAGCGCUGCCGCCCGGUGCGGCACCUCUAGGGUCUGGUCACUGCCAGGAGUUGCAAAUCCGCUAGCCUCCCCUACCACCCCUUCUUAGGUCCACGUGGAGCCGCCGCCGCAACUUGGUCGUUGGCAGCGCACCCGCACUGAUGGCGCUGCCCAAGGUUUCCUUCCUGUCGAUCUUCUUGCCAGCGGCCGUGGGUGUGGUGAGGAUCCACUGCAGCUUUAGCUCUGCGGCCGAGACAGUGACCACGUCGAAGACUAUAUCGUUGGGCUGUAGGCUGUAUGAGAAUUGGGUGUCCCAGCGCUUGGGGUUUUCCCUUGGCGGGGCCACGGUCUCUGCAACAACAAAGCCUUUAAUCUCAAACAAGUUGGGGUAGGCUAGGGGUGAAACCCAUAGGAUCUCGCGACCAACUCAUGGUUCUUGCACAUGGAUAGCAAGCUUCCACACACCCCUGUCCAUGGCUAGUUCUUUGGUGAUAUACUCCAAUCCUUCAGAUCUCUCUUUAGGGACUCCAGCCCCGACCUCUCUUGACAUAUCAGCACGCUUUAGCCCUCCGCUAUGCAUUGGAGCUUCUGCAGGCCUCGCAUGUAACCCUACCCCUCGUUCACAUAUAUAAGGGGAGAUAGAGGGCUCCCAAGUCGGCAUCCAAUCUAUGUCAAGAUCUCUCAUACGAGACACCAAUCAAUACAAUCAGACAUGCAGGAUGUAGGGUAUUACCUCCACCGCGAGCCAAUCAAUACAAUCAGACAUGCAGGAUGUAGGGUAUUACCUCCACCGCGAGGGCCUGAACCUGGGUAAAAUCGUUCAUCUCAUGUGCACACCAUUCUGAUCCUCUAUGCGUACUCCGCCCCAUGAGCAACCCUAUCAUGGGGUUUGCCUGUAUUAUGCACCGACAGCCACGGUGCUGACCCCCUUCCACACCGUCAGACGCCGAUUGCAUCAACCUCAUCUUCCCCCAUGUCCUCCACCGAUGACCUACCAGCAAAGGCGGUUACUACAGCCAGCGCUGCCGCCCGGUGCGGCACCUCUAGGGUCUGGUCACUGCCAGGAGUUGCAAAUCCGCUAGCCUCCCCUACCGCCCCUUCUUAGGUCCACGUGGAGCCGCCGCCGCAACUUGGUCGUUGGCAGCGCACCCGCACUGAUGGCGCUGCCCAAGGUUUCCUUCCUGUCGAUCUUCUUGCCAGCGGCCGUGGGUGUGGUGAGGAUCCACUGCAGCUUUAGCUCUGCGGCCGAGACAGUGACCACGUCGAAGACUAUAUCGUUGGGCUGUAGGCUGUAUGAGAAUUGGGUGUCCCAGCGCUUGGGGUUUUCCCUUGGCGGGGCCACGGUCUCUGCAACAACAAAGCCUUUAAUCUCAAACAAGUUGGGGUAGGCUAGGGGUGAAACCCAUAGGAUCUCGCGACCAACUCAUGGUUCUUGCACAUGGAUAGCAAGCUUCCACACACCCCUGUCCAUGGCUAGUUCUUUGGUGAUAUACUCCAAUCCUUCAGAUCUCUCUUUAGGGACUCCAGCCCCGACCUCUCUUGACAUAUCAGCACGCUUUAGCCCUCCGCUAUGCAUUGGAGCUUCUGCAGGCCUCGCAUGUAACCCUACCCCUCGUUCACAUAUAUAAGGGGAGAUAGAGGGCUCCCAAGUCGGCAUCCAAUCUAUGUCAAGAUCUCUCAUACGAGACACCAAUCAAUACAAUCAGACAUGCAGGAUGUAGGGUAUUACCUCCACCGCGAGCCAAUCAAUACAAUCAGACAUGCAGGAUGUAGGGUAUUACCUCCACCGCGAGGGCCUGAACCUGGGUAAAAUCGUUCAUCUCAUGUGCACACCAUUCUGAUCCUCUAUGCGUACUCCGCCCCAUGAGCAACCCUAUCAUGGGGUUUGCCUGUAUUAUGCACCGACAGCCACGGUGCUGACCCCCUUCCACACCGUCAGACGCCGAUUGCAUCAACCUCAUCUUCCCCCAUGUCCUCCACCGAUGANNNNNNNNNNAAUCAUCACAAUUUUGAUUCUUUGAAACUUCCUACUGCCAUGUUGAAUAUAUAUCAUGCAUGCAUGGUAGGCUAGCUCAUGUUGAUUUCAAGUUUGCUCAAAUCUAUAAGCGUAGACUUUUUAAGAAUGUUGUUAACGGGGCAUACAAUAUUAAGUGGGAUACUAAAAUGUGGAGAGAUCUCAAAUGUUGAAUUGUGCUAACCUAUUGAACGUACUACAGUCCUGAACUUUGGCAUUAGAAACAUAGGACAUAGAUCCCUCGCAUCGCUCUCCAGGGGGGCGGCUCGAGCGAAACCUAACCCGCCGCCACCCCCCUCUCACCACCCGCCCGCGACACCGCUGGGCAAAACCCGUGCAGCAGCCGACGGCGGCGGGAUUCCCUCGCUUGGUGGCGCGUUGUGGCUAGCCCUGCACGGCUUGGUGUGCGAUGCGAGGCUGGGCGCCGGGGGGCGGUCCCCGAGCUCUCUCUCUCCAGUAGCGGAUGGCUGCAGUGGUGGCGCCGUUGCUAGGCCGGCGCGGUGGCCUUUGAGCGGCGCGGAUCUGGCACAUCCGGCUCGGAGGUUUGGGAGCUGGGGCGGCUGCAGCGCGCGUCCUCAGCUAUGGGAGGCUCGGCCCUUCUGCCUGUGUGCACCGGCGAGUCUGGUGGUGGCGUCCCGAAGGCUUUGAUCUGGCAGCCGUGCAGUGCUAGCCAACGGCUGGUGCUGGGGCUGCAGCGAGACAUGGACGUGGAGUCCCGAUCUGGCGAGAUGGAGUGGGGUGGCGGCCCCUCCCUGCGUGGGCUGGUUGAUCGCGGGCUGGUUGCAGAUCAAUGGCGAAGUGGGUGUUGUCUCCUUCGUGCGACAUAGGUGUCUGGGCGCUGGAUCUGGCUGGUGCUAGCAGGGUCUGACUUGUCGGCGUACCGGUGGUGAGGUGGAUGGCUCCAGUGUGGUGGUGGCGCUGCCACGACGCCAGGGGCGUGCGGGUCAAUGGAGGUGCGGAGCGUGAGGGUGUGUUGUUGGGCGGUGCUUUGGGUGAAAGCUUGUCGGGCUCUUGCCGGCUGACGACGUCGGCGUCCGCGGACGUCGUUUCACUUCCUUGGAGGCGCCGGCGUGGAGUCCACCCCCUGCACAUCCACGGUUCCAGUUCUUCAGGUGAAAGCCUAAGGCCCGGUCGGGUCUGGCAACUGCGUCGACAUCGUUGCUUCCCUCUUUGGGGUGUUGCCUUGAAGAACUUUGUCCCGUUCGCACGCUCCAUGGGCUAGACGUUCGUGACAUUGCGGUCGGCAGGUGUCCGCCCGGCGAUGUGUUCUCUGUGCGGCUUGGCAGGUGUCCGCCCGGCGAUGUGGCCCGGCGAUGUGUUUUCUGUGCGGCUUCUUGUGUGGCGACAAUGUAGGCUUCAAGCAGAGUUGGUUUGCUGCUGGGUCUUGGUAGUCUCUUCCAGCGUGUUCAAGGGGUCGCCGUGCCUCACUUUGUCUUUCCGAAGUUGGAGCUGCUGAGGAUAGGCCCUUGCGGUGACGAUGACAUGCACAGGUGGUCGGUUUCAGCGCUGGCUCGACGCAAGCCCAGCGCUUUUAUCCUCCAAUGCUUGUCAACAGAGUCAGAGCUGCCUGGUAGCUGGCGCGAGCGGCUAACUGUUUGGCAUCAGCAGGCGCAAGCCUCGGCGCUUGAUUGCGGUGAGGGCUACAUCGGUGGUCGUCGAUGGUGGAGUCAGAAUCGCUCUCGAGGAGGAAUGAUGACGAUGACGCCGGGCUGCAACCUCAAAGGCGCUUUUCUCCUUGGCGGCGUGUGUGCGUUCUUGUGUAGGUUGGCAGGUCGCCAUGUGUGCCUUGUUUUCGCGGGUGUGAUGUGACGGUUUUUGCCCGGUUUUCCAUUAAUUAACUGGGCAAUUCUCUUCGAUCUCUUUUAAUGAAUCGGGCCCUAAGGGACCGCGUUUCAAAAAAUAGGACAUAGAUAGAAUGAUGAUCUGAUAUGCAACAAGCAAACACAUCGUUAGUGUUUUGGCUUACCUUGCAAAGUAGAACAAUGCUAUGUAUAGUAGCAUUAGCAGAAAUGUCCAUUAAUACGUAUGAUAAGAAAAUAAAUAACCAGUUGUUUCUUGUGUAACUUUAGAAGAGCUUGAUUGGAUCUUUUGAAUAACCGAACGAGGAUAAACUAUUUUUGCCUCUACUUUCAUCUGGUUCCGUAGCGUAGCAUCUGCAUCUUACUAGUUUCGUACUCCCUCCGAUCCAAAAGAAGUGUCGUGGUUUUAGUUCAGUACUAAAAUUCCACAAUGUAAGGUGCAUUUGUUGUAAUCCCACAUAAUCCCGUUUUUACCCCUCCACCACAUACAUGGAAACCUCACGUCCUCAUGUUAAAAUCAAGCAACCUCCCUAACACGAGCCAACCUCCCAAUGAUUUGGUUGAAAAAUAUACUCCCAAUUGAUUGGUUUGCAUGCGCUGCUGAUUCCUUGGGAUAUGCCGUUGCAUGGGCCAUGCAAGGGGAGCGGGCGAUCUGCACGCACCCUCAAAUCACUGGAUGAGGUCCAUAAUUGAUAUACCUGCUGCUAACCACCAAACUAAUCGAGGGUAAUUUUGUCCGAAAUGCUCCAUAAUUCCGUUCCUUGGUCAUUGUGCCAAAAAUAAUACAGCUCAGAUAAAGGAACGGAGGGAGUAUGACCUAAAGGCAUUGCAGCUAAUGUAACUUAUUGUCUGAGCAUCUAAUGUACUGACAUAAGACUAAUGUCAUUUUCUCAUGUAUACCAUUUCUGCUAUAAAAAUGGGGUACAGAAGAUAUUUGCCACAUAUAAGAUUUGAUACACCCGUGUAAGGUACAAUAUGGAAUCCAGAAAAAAUACCUUUCUUUCCAACGCAGUCUUCAUAAUUGUCAGUGCCCUCUCUAAGCUCUGUAAUAUGUCAUCUUCAGUUUUUCCAUUGAUGGACAACAAUUGACCUUUGGACUCUGCAGGAGAUACAAGGUUGCAGUGAUGAUUUUGGCAACAGAUUGAUGGAUACAAAAUAGUGUUGUCUAUGAUCAAUGAUCUGCAGUACUGACCACACGGUAAAGUAUAAAUUUAUUUUAUAAAGUAGGUGAUUACCAGAGGGUGCAGACGAAAGAAAAUAGCUUAAUGGCAAAAUUGUGUUCUUGAGAUGCUUUUCCUGUUUAUACCACAAAUGCAUUCCUGUCUAUACCACAAAUGAGUGUAAUACUGGCAAUAUGGUUGUGCAAAGGCUAUUGAGGAUUUGGGCCCUCUGGAACAGUCAUGCAAUAAAUGUCCUACACCUACUCUAAAUCUGUUUUAAUGUGUGGUUUUUAUUUCUGAGAUGCCUGCAGUAAGUUGCCAUUUUAAUACAUAAUUCUGUUUUGACAAAUACAACUUCUCAGUCUGGCGGUACAAAUAGGAUGACCAUUUUCUGACAGUUAACUGUCCAUGAACUCCUAGUAACCAUCUUCUAGUCGUAACUUAGAACCAACCACACCACGCUUAUUGGCAAGAACGAACUAAGAUCUUAUACUGGAAAGAGAUUAAAAGAUGGUAGACGAACCACGCAAGAACUUUCAAUGCUUGAACAGACGAGUGAAAUACUAGUAACUAGUAAUAGUAACCAACCGAUAAAAGCACCAAUGAAAUAAUAAAAGAUGAAAGAGGCUUGGUGGAUUAUUCCUCCUGCUCUAAGAUAAUUCGUCACAACAGGACAAGUGUCACAGAACAUUUGCCAGAUAAUCUAUUUCUAGUGAUAAUACAGUACCAGGUGUUAUGAGGUUACAGAGAAGUCCAAUCUGGAUUGCUGUAGUUUGCUUAUCACCAGUUAGCAUCCACACAUUGAUUCCAGCCUUCCUUAGCAAUUUAAUAGUUUCAGGCACACCAUCCUACCAGGUCACAACAAUCUAUGAGAAGGAGAACAGCAAGCAUGCAAUUGCACAAGUAAUUCCACUGAUUAUUAGAAAAAACAAUUAACAAAUAAUACCUGGAGACGGUCCUCUAUGGCAGUGAUGCCAAGAAUGUGAAUACCUUGCUCUAAGCUGUUACAGACUUCGGCAAUUUUAUGCUGUAUAUUAUGAAGCUCGUAAUAUACCUCAAAAAUAUAAAAAGCUACAAACUAAGUGAACCAUUAUGAACUGGUAAGGUCGGGAGUGAUUUACCUCCCUGUUGUCCAGUGAGCAGCUAGCAUCUUGAAAUUUUUUGGACCAUUCUUUAUAUUCAUCUUCUUCUAAGUCACGGCAUCCCAAACAUAAUGUCCGCAGACCCAAAUGAGAAUACAUUUCUACUGCCUCAAGAUAGGUCUUUGUUUGUUCUCCUGUCAUUUAUGUGCUAGAAAAUUGAUUAUCUUAUAUAACAAAAGCCAGGUGUUUAAUCAUUUGAUGCAUUCCCUCAAAUACCAUGCUUUAUUGCUAUGCAAACCAUUUUGGUAUCAAUUGGUGCCCAAGCCAUAUGUUCAUUGAAGGAGUGAACCCAAAUGGGUGAUUGCAUAGCAUAUAUUGACAUGUUUAAAAUAGAGUAGACACACACGGUUCAUCGAAGAAAAAACACACAGAGAGUAGAAAAGCCCAAAAACCUCUGCCUCCUGCUUCAAGGAAAAACUGGACACAACUUAAUAACAAAUCAGUCAAGGAAGACAACUUGGUGCCAAAAGAAGAAAGAAAUGCCCAACAGUGCUGUCAUCGAUCAUCAUGCUCACCGCAUGGUUGAUCAGGAACACCGCAAUGCUUACGUCUUCAACGCUGAGAUGCCUAAUGUUCGGAUGCUAAACCAACACGAAGCUUCAGGUUGUGCUCCAGUCAAUCACAUGAUAGGCAUAUUUUCCAGGAGCGGACUACUCGUACGCUUGUAAGUAUUACAUUUUCUAUCUAGCAAUGCAUCGAGAACACAAAGUUUUGCUUUUUCUGAAGAAACAAAGUUCUGAGAGGCACUUUAAUCUAGCAGAAAACAGGUUUGGAAGUAGCCCAAACUUCAGUGCUCGCCUUCGUACAAUUAAACUAACAAAUGAAGGCAUGCAAGAGUGUAUGAAAAUUUGAAGUAUAAUAGAGGAAAUACAAUAUUUGGGAGCUUCGUGCUGAUAAACCAUGUACCUGGACAAGAACGUGGGAAAAUAGCUUCAUCAGCACCUUUAGUGAGAAGAAGAAACUUCCCACUCUUGACCUCCUUUACCACAAUAGACAUUCUUUUGCGAUCAGAAGUGAACUCCAAAACAUCCAACACCUCAUAAUAAAAUUUAGAACCAUUGAAACAAAUCUCUGCAGAAUAUCAGACAAAAAUUGAUCAAGCAGACAAGUAACAGAAAACCUAAACAGAGUAAGAAGUUUACCAUCUUAACAGACUAUCAAGCAUUUACUAACCAGCAAUGCCGCUGCUGUCUUUACUUGUAAGCAACAUAUUCAGGUUUGAUGCAGCAUUGACCAAAGCUUCCUCGUCUUGUGACUGUGCUUUGUAUGAAAUAGUGCCAUCAUUGCUAAAAUUAUGAAAGGUAUAAGGAACAAUGCAAAUCUCAAAUAGGCAUGACAAUUCAGAAUUGUUUGUCCUUAAAAAUAGUGAUUUACUUGCCUUUUGAUAGGAACAACUGUGUUGCAAAGAGCCAUCACCAUCAGAAAUUUGACUACAUCCGGAUCGUUACUUGAGACAGCAUUUAGAAGUCUGGCAUCUAAUUAGAGGAAAUAAUACAUCUUACAGGACAAAAGACAGCUAUAGUUUGUUUUCAGAAAAAUAUUUUUGGCAUAUGAAUGAUAAUACAAUAAAUGGAAUGUUCAACAAAUCCGUGAGAAGAAUGCCCAGUACAGUUCUUAAUACCCACACAUCAACUUGCCUACAUUAAAAUCGCAAAGAGAAGUCUGAAAUUUAAGAUUAUUGAUCCUAAAGAUGACAUAAUUCAGCUCCAUCAUCACCCUCGAACUGUGCACGUGCCUUAUAUAGAUAUAAGGUGGGUAUUUCACCUCUUAGUUUCUGAAAUAAAGGUAUUCGCCUACUCUUUACAAAAGAAGGGUAUAAAUUACCAUUGCUCGCAUAUAACAAUAUAACACAAUCUCUGCAAAGCAACCGUGACCAACUCUUGGCGUCCGCACGUAUGUAGUGAUGAAGAAACAGAAGAUCAGUAGAAGUUAUGUGGUAUUUAGUGUUGAAACAUAUUGCCCGCUGUCCUAAGGUCAGUUCGAACUUUUGGGUGAACUGGUUGGUGCAUCCGAUUCAAUAUUGUACCAGAGCCAAGAGGCCUCAAGUUCUAGAUGCAACUAAUACAGUAUUUAAUAAAAAUAUAUGAGGUCUACAUCUAUCCCGCGUCUAAAUACUGAUGGAGCCUAGAAUUGAGAGGGAGUGUUGAAAUAUAUUGCCCUCAAUCAGUUCAGACUUUUGGGUGAAUUGGUUGGCGCAUCCAAUUAAUUACUUAGAACUUCGAGAAUGGACAACACUGGCUUUGAAGUUUGCAAGGCCCGCACACAUUUUGAGGUCAUCAAUUUGACCAAUGACAUAUAAGCUAUUUCCCCAGUUAGACUGAUGACCUCAAAAUGCGUGAGGGCCUUAAAUACGUUGAUGGAGGGAGUACUUAGUCAACAAAUGAACAUGCAUGUGCUUUGCCUCCAAUUGCAUGAAACAUUUGGCAGUCAAUGAAGAGCUUCAGGUACAGCUCGUACUUCAUGCAAAAGAACACCAUGUUUCAUAUCAAGCCCUACUAGAUAAGCUAAAAAUACGCCUGCCAGGAUGGGACGAACAUCGAGAACAAGUUUGAUACCUUUUAAAGCAUCUCCAGUUUUAUCUCCAUAUAGAACACCACUUAUGUAACAUCUUCUGAAAAUCAUUCUAUUCUCUGUCAAUGUCCCAGUUUUGUCGCUUAAUAUAUAUUCAACCUGCCCAAGGUCUUCGCUAAUAGCUGUGCUGAAAGAGGCACUUAUAUAAGAUCUAAGAUAUAAAGAAAACAGGUCUGAUGAACACCUAAUUUAUACAGAUGAAUAAACUAUAUCACAUACUUAGCUGAGUGGGCAGGUGUAUUUGUUUCCGGAUCAAACAUUUGAUCAUCACAAUCAAUAAAUUUUGCGUAUACACCUUUAGCCAAAUCAAGAGUAACCUAGAAACACUAACAAAGUUAGGCAAUGGAACUUUAUUUAACACUAAGCAGAAGAAACCAUAAUAUAGUUAGUAGACAACUCUAACAGUGGAACACUCUACAGUUGAAAGAUCAGGCAAUUAAAACAUCAAUGAACAAAAUAUGAAAUGCACUAGUAAGUAGAAUUAAAAAAGAUGGUACCUCAUAAAUGAGGUUUUCCUCACAGAAAGAAUCAAUAAAGUUUGCAAUCAAACAUCUACAGAGAAUUUUUGUGUAAGCAUGAACAAGCCAAUGGUUACCAUGAUGGUGGCGGUGUAGGUUUGUUCGCUGAGAGAGAAUAGUUCAAUUGACAGUUUCUCUUACAAAAAGAAAAGGAAUAGUUCAAUUGGUAAGAAAAAUUACAACUCAAAGCUAAAAAUCUGCAGGUUAUGAUUGAUCCUGAUGACAUGUGAUGGCGGCACCUUGAAACUAAUUAUUCGAAUUAAAACAUUCAUUCGGAAACCAAAGAAAUACUACACUGGAACAUACAUUUGAAAUAUAUUUUUUACAAUAAUGCACGUGAAGAAAGAAAUACUACUAUACUGGGAAUGCACUUGGAAAAAUAAGUGUCACUUGCUUAUCAUGUCAAGGGGGUUAGUUUCGAAGAUGUGAACUUCAAAAGGCAAUAAUAUGAGCAAUAGCGCGAGCCUGAUCUCGGCAGCGUGUACCAAUGUCAUGCAAUCUCAAUCAUUCAAAAUUAGAGUUGAUGGCUAAUUUUUUCAGGCUUAAGGUUUUGCAAACUGGGCUUCCAAGCAAUGAGCAAAGCCCAGGAUGGAACUAGGAAAGAAAAUCCAAGGGGAGGUGCUGGGCUAAGGCCAUCAACUCUAUAUGUUCAAUCAAGAAUGGUGAACUGGCAUUUGCACAAAAAAUCUUAGUACUAUUUUCCAUACACUAUCAUGAAUGUGAAGGAUCAACAAAAAAAUCCUCUUGCAAAUUCUUUUACAAAUAAAGUUUCAAAAUCAGAGCUUUGUGCAUUCAAAUUUGCAAGCUGGAGUACCUCAAACAAACAGCACAAGAAGGGAAAAAAUCAACUUAUAAUCAUACCUUUAUGGAAAUCGGAAUCAUUAUUGAACACAGUAGUUCAAAGCGCAACGGGAUAACCAAGAAAUCGUACCAUGGUCUUUCAGCAGGAUACAUGAGAUACCAUAGCUACACAAAAGGACACAAAGUAAACUAAUAAUCAGAUCAAAGAAAAAAUAGAAUAAAGUUCAUUCAAUCCCUUGCAGAUCUAGAUUUAAGAGUAGGAGAAAGUCUACAGUUAGCCCCUCAACUACUGGUUCAGUUUAAUUUACACCCGGAACUUUAAAACCAUAUAAUUUGCACCUACCGAAACCGUUUAUAUUAGGUCCCAAGACCGAUUUCAUACGCAUUUUUGGAUGGCAUGGCUGUCAGAUCAUCAAUCCUACCUGGACAGUAGGCCCUACACGUCAGAGAUAAGAAAACUGUAAAAACGACUCUUUUUCUCCUUUCUCUAUCCUCCCCCAUUUCUCUAUAUUUUUCCUCCCUCCAGCCACCCAAUCCCAGCCUCUGGCGAGCACUCGAGGAGAGGUUGCCUGCCUGGAUUAGUGCCCAAAAUGGUCUCACAUAGGGUUUUGGGACCCUGGCCUCUUUGGCUCUGAUAGCAGGAGAGUAGCAUCUGGAUCCCACAUGGUCUCUGCAGCUGCACGAUCUAGCGCUGGAUAACCGAAGGCUCCUAAGGAUUUCGGUAUGGAUGGAGGAUAUGGUAUUGGAGCUGGAACUGGCUGUGGCUGGCUGGCCGCCACCAAUAGAGAAGCAUCACACACUAGGACACUUCAGUCAUAGGCAAGCAUGACCAUGGUCCAUGGCAUCCUUCUCCACUUCAUCACAUCUGGACAAGCUUGUGUCCAUAACAGUAGAAACAAAGGAGCAAAAUGAUCGCAGCGACAUUACCAUGCCCUGGCUUCCUAGACAGCUCCAUUGUUGACACCCAUUCAUGAUGAGGCAGAUUCCCAGUGGUGCCAACUGCUGAGCACGACAGCUAACCAGGUCGUGAGGUUCCCGCUUCAGACAUCCUCAACAUAAACUUGGCCAUGAACCUGAAGGCGAGGGGGGGAGAUAGAAGUAGGAAGGGAAGGAAGACAAGAGAAGACAAAGAAGAGGUACAAGGGGUUGACAGGUGGGGUUAAACAGAUUUAUGAUGGUUUAUUUCUACACGCGCCUUCCCAAUGUUGGGUCCCUAGCAUGUAGAUUAUGAGUCCAAGGACUAGUCAAGAAGACUAGUCUAUGAGUCGCAACUCCAGGGCCGACUACACUUCAGUGUCGACUAGUCUAUGAGUCGCAACUUCAGUGUUGACUUGUCACGAUUAGUCAUGAUUAGUCUAUGAGUCUCAACCUCAGAACGACUCGUCGACUUGUCGACUCGUAAACCUAGGAUGGAUGUACAGCCAUCUGGUUUUAUUUUGCUUUUGCUUUUUGCCUUUGCCUUAGUUUUUUCCGUUCGCUGUAAAUUUUGAGCCAUCUUGGUGCCUUCACCUAAUACAAAAGAUACGCAUUUGAUGCAUGUUCGGGAGAUGGUUUAUUUCUGUUUUAGGUGGGGAUGGGACAGGUGGUUUGCAAGUAUUUGGCUAGGGGGGUAUCUGCACCAUUAUUCAGAGUAAGGUACUAAAGGGUACUGAAACUGGGGCUGCAAAUUGAACUGUCGCAAUAAUUGCUUUGUUGCCCCGCAAACCAUGUCAGUAGUUGAGGGGCCAAGUAGUUUUUUACCUACAGAAAGUAUAAAAACAUGCAUCGAAUGAAAGUACUACUGAAUUUGCUACUUAAGGACACUGCUUUCGUCGGAGAUAAAGAUCACCUUACAACCAUGGCUGUCCUUCCAGAUAUUGCCAGCAAGACCCAGCAAAAGAACAACAGCAAUUUGGAAAAUAAAUAUUGCAACGGUGAGUUUGUCUAUCAUUGAAUCAGCAGCGGUAAGCUUGGGCUCCGCAGUUCCCCUGCUCAUUCCUGAUUUGGUUUCAUUGCCUGACACAAAUGACAUUUUGUUUGGUCAGUUAAGUGCACACCAAAUGCCUCAAACAUGCAUCUUUGGGGUAGUAAAUCAAGAAUAGGCUAAAUGAAGUUUGAUAUAGCUAUCUCUACCUGUGUAAAUUGCAACUCCACAUGCCCAUUCCGUGUACCGUAAGUAACAUGACUGAAGAAGUGUAUUGUUGAUAGUUAAAGGACAUUUCUCAUUAUCAAUGAUAGGAGGGAACAAGCGCAUGUUAGCAUCAAAUCUUCUUAUGUCAUUAUCUGGGUUGGGGCACUCGACUACACCCUGCUCAAUCCAGAGACAGGCAAUCAGAGAAGGCAUGAGAAAAGGCCAAGAAUGUACAAGUACAGAAAGGCUCACCUUGAUUUUCCCCAAUUGCUCCGAUGACAGGUCAGCACAAAUUGAAGGGAUAAUUCUGGUUUUCAAAUCAGUUUCACCAUCUAAAGCUGCGGUCUGAAGUAAAAGUGAAAAAAAUUUGGCACUAUCAGUACUGACAACAGCCAAAGUAAAUUUUCUAUUUAGAUUAUUGUAACAGUAGGUAACAUGGUGGCUUUCAAGCUGCACAAUAUUUCUGUAAAUCAUCAUAAACCAAUCACAAAAGCGAAACAGAUCUAUUCCCAGAUAUAGAAGGAGAGUACAAAAGGAGCCUACUGAAAUUGAGAAGACUAUAUGGUGUGCACAAUAAAAGAGAGCAUUCUAGCACAAUUUCCUUCUGCGUACCAAUAAAUACGCACAGGUUCAUCUAUGCAAAGUUCUCAUAUACUCGAGAGUAAUAAAACAAGACUGCUGCACACGAUUAGCAGCCCUUCACGUGCAAAGCAGGUUCAAGUAACCAAAUUCGAACACAAAAAUAAAUGAAAUAGAUACAGUUCUGUUGACUUGUUUUCUUACUCUCAAUAUUGUUAAUGUGAAAGGAAAGAUAUAAAAACAUGAAAUUUUGCAUGCUUUUGACGAAAGACUGAAAUCUUAAAUCACAAACUUAAAAAAAUUAUCUAUAUUAUCUAUAAGUAUGAGUUGUAUUGAGAUACUAAUCACCUUUUAACAAUCCAUCAAACGUGAUCAACAGAAUGAGUGGAACUUUUCUUGCAAUGCCGAUAAGUUUCAGUUGUUUAUAUUGCAACUAGUGUUAAUUAGGCUGUGUUUGGUUGAACUUUUGCAGCCAGCUUCUGGCUUUUCAAAGCUACAAUCUAACCAAAGGGGUAAAAUGAGAAGCAGAAGUUGCAAAAUCUACAGCUUCCCCGCAGUGUAAUUUUCGCAGCAGGUGAACCCCCAACUUCAGUGAUGCAGUUUUAGCUGUCCCCUGAAAGUUUCAUUGUAUUUACCCACGUUUGCCACUAGCAAGUGAAAAACGAUUGGGUCCAAUUCCUCCCGAGCGACGCAUCCACCACGAGAGAAAAGAAAACCUGCUCGUUCCCCAUUGACCUGAGCGACAGCUAGGGUUCCUAGCCGCCGGCGCCGGCGCCGCCCAUUCGCCGCCGCGCGCCCAGCCGUCGGCGCUGCCUCCCGUGUUCGCCGUCCGCCUCCCCGCGGAGGCCUCCUUCGUUCUCCACUGCCCGGCGCGGCCUCCUCAACUACCGGCCUACACCACCGGAGCAGCUAGGGCCGCCGCGCACCCCGCCGCCUCCCGCAGCCCCGCUGCGACCUCCUCCAUCCAUUCUGCCAUGUAGCUGCACCCCUUUCCUCCCACUGCCCUUGUCCCCCCUCCCAUGUCCUGUACCAAGUAGGGUUUUUUUUUUUGCUCUGUUGGUAGUGACUGAAUUCAUGUGAAGUGAUGAACAAUGGAUGAUUUUUGAUAUAUUGAUGCAUAUAGCUUGUCAUAUUGUUGUAUAUUCAUGUAAAGUGGAUGACAUUUUGAUAUGUUGCUUGUCAUAUCGUUGUAUAUUGAUGUAAAGUCGAAGAAAUUUUGAUAGUAUUGUAGCAUAUUCUUGAUGUUUAGCUAUGUCUAUGGAGGUCAUCACCAUGUGAACCAUAUGUGUUUUGUAUGGUGCAUGUGUUUUGUAAUAAUAUUAUGGGAUUACUAUCUAUUUAAAUGUAUGCAACAUCAAAGUACAGUCGUUGUAUUGCCCAUGUGUUAGUUAUGAAUCGCCUACAUUGUCAUAAUUUUCAUUUGAAAAAUGAUCGUUCAAUUACCUACAAAUGUAGGUAUCAUUGCCUUACGGUCAAUAAGUAUACGGAAAUAUGAACUCAUGCCCUGUAACGCCCCGGAUGUGACUUUCCAUAUUUGUAACUCCAACUCUUGUCAUUUUCGGCUAUGUGUUAUGAUAUUCCCUUCGUGGUCGGGUUUUGUCUCUCGUUUUGCAUUUUGUUCAUGUCAUGCAUUUCAUAUCAUGUCAUCAUGUGCAUCUCAUUUGCAUACGUGUUCGUCUCAUGCAUCCGAGCUUUUUCCCCGUUGUCCGUUUUGCAAUCCGACACUCCCACAUGCACCGGCGCACCCCUCUUGUCUCUUUUCGUGAGCGGGUGUUAGACGUUCUCGGAAUGGACCGAGGUUUGCCAAGUGGCCUUGGUACACCACCGGUAGGCCACCUGUCAAGUUUCGUUCCAUUUGGAGGUCAUUUGAUGCUCCAACGGUUAACCGGGUAACCGCAAAGGCCUUUUGUGUGUUGCAGCCAAACACCCCUCCAAACAGCCCAAUAACCCAUCUAAGCCCCCUCCAUGCCCUCGGUCGUUCGAUCACGAUCGUGUGGGCGAAAACCGCACCUCAUUUGGAGUCUCCUAGCUCCCUCUACUUAUAAAUAUGUGAUCCCCUCCGGAUUUUUCGCGCAGUCCAAACCCUAGCCUCACCCCUCUCCGCCGCCGGACACGUCCGGCUCGGGAAACCGCCGCCGCGCCCGCACCAGUCAGGCGCCGCCACGUGGCCUCCGCCACCGCCCGCUNNNNNNNNNNNNNNNNNNNNNNNNNNNNNNNNNNNNNNNNNNNNNNNNNNNNNNNNNNNNNNNNNNNNNNNNNNNNNNNNNNNNNNNNNNNNNNNNNNNNNNNNNNNNNNNNNNNNNNNNNNNNNNNNNNNNNNNNNNNNNNNNNNNNNNNNNNNNNNNNNNNNNNNNNNNNNNNNNNNNNNNNNNNNNNNNNNNNNNNNNNNNNNNNNNNNNNNNNNNNNNNNNNNNNNNNNNNNNNNNNNNNNNNNNNNNNNNNNNNNNNNNNNNNNNNNNNNNNNNNNNNNNNNNNNNNNNNNNNNNNNNNNNNNNNNNNNNNNNNNNNNNNNNNNNNNNNNNNNNNNNNNNNNNNNNNNNNNNNNNNNNNNNNNNNNNNNNNNNNNNNNNNNNNNNNNNNNNNNNNNNNNNNNNNNNNNNNNNNNNNNNNNNNNNNNNNNNNNNNNNNNNNNNNNNNNNNNNNNNNNNNNNNNNNNNNNNNNNNNNCCCGCGGCCCGCACCUCGCCGGCCGGCCCCAUCCCUCCGGCAAGCUCCCCUCUCCGGCCAUCUCCUCCCCGCUCCGGCCACCGCGGGACGAGCUCCGGUGAACCUCGAACCGCGCGCCAGAUCUAGAUCCAGAUCCACGGUUGACCUCAUUUUUCUUCUCUAAGUCUUUUACUGUGUUAUUUUCAUGCCAUGUUCAUCACAUCAUAUCAUCAUGCUUGGUGCUCCGAUUUGUGCAUAUAAUAUGUCAAAAUGUUCACCAUGAGAUGCUCUUCAUUUUGUUCCAUUAUGCCAUGCUUGUUUGAGUUCAUCUUGAUGCCUAAAUCAUCGUUGCAAGAGUGCUAUAUGAUGUUUACUGCUGUCUGUUAACAGAACUUGAUGUUUUGUCAUUUUUGUUGCAUUUGAUGUGUGCAUCUUAUGGGCAUGAGCUCUACAUGUGUUUUGAUCUAGGUCAUGCCAUCUUUACAGGGGUGUAUGCCAUGUAUUUUUGUGAUCUAUGUGGUGACUAGCACAAGCAUGCAAACUAGGCUUCGUGAUGUUUCUGUUUUCAGGGACUUAGGAUUUUGCUAAGUCUUUUCCUGCUGUUAUUUUGAUGCCAUGUAUCCAUGUGGCUACAGUGAGAUCCAUGCUUCUUUUGAGUAUGUUCAGUAAGAAUAUUUUGGACAUAUAGAUAUGCUCUAUCCAUCCAUGCCCCUGUUUGCAAUUAUGGAGUGCCCUAGCAUGUCUCAAUCUUACUCUACUUUUGCUAUAAAAUGUUUCUGGCAGAAUGUUAACAUGCUAUUCAAUCUUGCCAAGGUUGUUGUAGUUGAUCCAUGCAUGCAAUGGACUUGUUCUUGCCAUGGUUAGCUUCAUGAACAUGCCAUCUUGCUGUUGGUAUGCUUGUUUUGUCAUGCAAUGCUUUGUGAUGAGUGAAUCGAGCUCACAAAGAUGCCUUCAUAAUUCUGUUAAUGCCAUGCUCUGUUUUCUGCUAAGUCUGAAACCUGUUAACGAAACUUGCUAUGUUUACAUGGGUGCCAUCAUAUCUUCUGUGCCUUUUUAGCUCAUGAUCAGUAAAGGACUUUUGUUCUAUGCAUUUAGUAAAUUCAUGCCAUGCCUUGUUUUGCUAUGACAAGUUCCUGUAGCAUGUUGAUUGCUUGCUCUGACCAUUGCUACCUGAUGUUGUUUAAGCCAUGUUCAGUAUUUUCACUAAGUUUGUGAAGCUGAUAUCUUUUGCACUUUUGCCAUGCUUGUUUGAACCUGUUAUAUUGUGAUCUAGCCGUAGCUCAGUGUUCAUCUUUUGUCAAGCAUCUCUUGUAGAUCACUGUCAUAUGCUUUGUUGCUAUGUCGGGGUGCUGUAGCAUAGUUACUUGAUGUAUUCUAAGUGCUAUCAUGCUGUUAAUCGCAGAAUUGUGUCAUUCUUGUUUUGCUUGCCAUUUGCAAACCGUGCAUCCAUUUCCGGUGACCUUUAUAUCGAUUUCGACCGAAAUCAUCUCAUCUUUCCAGCGGCAUACUUGGUUUGCCAAGUUGAUGCCUUGUUCAUCUUUUCCCUUCCGGAGCACGCAUAUGCAUUGCAUAUCACAUCUCGCAUAUCAUGCCAUGUAUUGCAUCAUGUUGCUUGUGCAUUUCCCGUGAUUGAUUGUUAGUCCUUUGCUUGUGUUCUUGCUUUGGGUAGAGCCGGGAGACGAGUACGCUUACGAGGAACCUGUUGAGAACGCUUACGAGGAUCAAGCUUUCGACAACUCUGAGAACCUUGCAGGCAAGAUGACCAUACCCUCGAAAUCACUUCUAUCUUUGCUUUGCUAGUUGUUCGCUCUAUCGCUAUGCUGCUCUACCUACCACUUGCUAUAUCAUGCCUCCCAUAUUGCCAUGUCAAGCCUCUAACCAUCCUUCCCUAGCAAACCGUUGUUUGGCUAAGUUACCGCUUUUGCUCAGUCCUUCUUAUAGCGUUGCUAGUUGCAGGUGAAGUUGAAGUUGGUUCCAUGUUGAAACAUGGAUAUUUUGGCAUAUCACAAUAUCUCUUAUUUAAUCAAUGCAUCUAUAUAUUUGGUAAAGGGUGGAAGGCUCAGCCUUAUGCCUGGUGUUUUGUUCCACUCUUGCCGCCCUAGUUUCCGUCAUACCGGUGUUAUGUUCCUUGAUUUUGCGUUCCUUACACGGUUGGGUGAUUUAUGGGACCCCCUUGACAGUUCGCCUUGAAUAAAACUCCUCCAGCAAAGCCCAACCUUGGUUUUACAUUUGCCUACCUAAGCCUUUUUCCCUUGGGUUUUCGCGAGCCCGAGGGUCAUCUUUAUUUAAACCCCCGGGCCAGUGCUCCUCUGAGUGCUGGUCCAAACUAGAGCCACUUGCAGCGCCACCUCGGGGAAGCUCGAGGGCUGGUUUUAGUUGUACGUAGUGUUCAUCCGGUGUGCCCUGAGAACGAGAUAUGUGCAGCUCCUAUCAGGAUUUGUCGGCACAUUCGGGCGGCUUUGCUGGUCUUGUUUUACCAUUGUCGAAAUGUCUUGUAAACCGAGAUUCCGAGACUGAUCGGGUCUUCCCGGGAGAAGGAAUAUCCUUCGUUGACCGUGAGAGCUUAUAAUGGGCUAAGUUGGGACACCCCUGCAGGGUAUUAUCUUUCGAAAGUCGUGCCCGCGGUUAUGAGGCAGAUGGGAAUUUGUUAAUGUCCGGUUGUAGAGAACUUGACACUUGACUUAAUUAAAAUACAUCAACCGUGUGUGUAGCCGUGAUGGUCUCUUUUCGGCGGAGUCCGGUGCUCCUCCGAGUGCUGGUCCAAACUGUUAGAGUUAUAAUAUAGGUCAUGUACCCCUUUGUAUUUAUCCCGUUGUAUAAGGGGUUUCCUGCAUAUGUUCCACACCUGUACAUGUAUAUAUAUCGGCCUAUGGCCUCAUGGGAAUACAAGUUGCUUAUUCCUAACAUGGUAUUAGAGCUUUAGGUUUCUUUUUUCGCACGCGCAACUCGUGCUACGAUCCCAUCCCGCCGCCGCCGCGUUUUCUCUCUCCGGCUGCUCCACGCCGUCCGCCACUCUCGCCUCGGCGCCGCUGCUGCGCCUCCUGCUCCCAGGUGCCAGGGCGGAACGCGGUCGCGCCGGUCCUCCCAGCCACGUCCGCCACUCCCGCCAGGCGCCGUUGCUGCGCUCUCCUUCCUCCACAUACUGCGGCCGCCGGUAUCCGUCGGGCUCCCGUUACCUGCGGACCUUCAAGGCGCACGCAGUCACGCGAGGGCGGCGGCAGCAUCCGCUCAGUGUGCGGCUCCUCGUGAGCCCCAGCUCCACUUCCCGCGGCCGCCGUUCGUGGAACCGCCGUGCGACUCCUUCUCGUCUCCGCUUUCCCUCGCGCAGAUUAAAAAAAAACAUGUCUGCUGCAUCGGGCUAUGUUUCUGUCCCUCGCUGUCCGGUGAUCUUUGAUGGUACUAACUACACCGAGUUCGCUGGCUUCAUGCGCAUUCACAUGCGUGGCAUCCGUCUCUGGGGUGUUCUUUCUGGCGAGGUCUGCUGUCCGCCACGUCCGGUUCCUCCGGUGGCCCCUACUCCGCCGACUCCACUGGUUCUUCCUACGGAUGCUAAUCAGGCCGCCAAGGAUGCGGCUAAGCUUGCUGAUGAGGCUGCUGAUCGUGCCUAUGAUGAGAGGGUUUUGGCUUAUGAGGAGGCUCUUCAGACGUAUCAUGGUGCUUUGUCUGUUUACACCCAGUGGCUUGAUGAUGAUGCUCGUGCUGCAGCUGUUCUCACUGCUAGUGUUCUGCCUCAGUUUGCUUAUGAGUUUCUGGGUCUUCCUACUGUCUUCCAGAUGUGGACCUGUCUCGUCAGCGCUAUGAGCCCUCUGGUGAUGCCUUGUACCUUUCUGUGGUUCGCCAGGAGCAUGCUCUUCAGUAGGGUGACUCUACUGUUGAUGACUUUUAUGCACAGAGUUCUGCUAUCUGGCGCCAGCUUGAUUCUCUCCGCAGUGCUGGUUGUCGUACUUGCCCCUGCUGCCAGGCUGUCCAGGCCAAUUUGGAGUUUCAUCGCGUCUAUGAGUUCCUGUCUCGGCUCCGUAAGGAGUUUGAACCCCGGCGUGCUCAGUUGUUUGCUCGUGGCCGUAUUUCUCUCAUGGAGGCGCUUUCAGAGAUUCGUGCUGAGGAGACUCGCUUACGUGGUGCUGGUUUGCUGGAGGUUCCCUCUGUGCUCGCUACUCGGGCUUCUUCCACUCCACCUGCUGCACCGCCCCAUUCUCGCUCGAGUGCUCCGCCGCUCUUGCCCACUCCUUCUGGAGGCUCAGGUCGCCCCCGUCCACAUUAUGACUACUGCAACAAUGAUGGUCAUAUUGAGUCCCAGUGCUACACAAAGCGGAAACACCUGCGCAAGGCGCGAUCAUCCUCCUCAGGGACUUCGUCAUCUCCCUCGCCAGCUUCAGCCAUUGCUUUGACCGAGCAGGAUAUUCUGAGACUUAAGCGUCUGCUCGCGGCUUCAGGUUCUUCCUCGACGGGUACUGCUGGUUCUGUGACUGAUGCUUCCCGCACUGAGCACCCGCCCUCUACACAGUCAGGUACAUCCCCAUGGGUUCUGGACUCUGGAGCUUCUUUUCGUAUGUCUUCUCAUUCUUCCACUUUGUCCUCUCUUCGAUCGCUGGAUUCUCCUGUUCAUGUCUUCACUGCUGAUGGUACUCCACUUUCUGUUGCUAGUAGAGGCCAUCUUUCCACUCCUUAUUCUGUUCCUGAUGUUGCUCAUGUUCCUCGACUUACCAUGAAUCUGUUUUCUGCCGGUCAACUUACUGAUUCUGGUUGUCGUGUCAUCCUUGACGUUGACUCUUGUUCUGUCCAGGAUCGUCGCACGCACACUCUGGUUGGGGCUGGCCCUCGCCGCCGUGAUUCUCAGGGUCUUUGGGAGUUGGACUGGCUUCAUGUUCCUUCCACUGCCACCACCAUCGCCAGUCCCUCCGCUGCUGUCGCCUCUGUUACUGGUUCCUUCAAGCAGUGGCAUCAUCGACUUGGUCAUCUGUGUGGUUCUCGGUUAUCGUCUUUAGUUCGUCGAGGUCUUCUGGGGUCUGUCUCAGGAGAUGUCUCUUUAGAGUGUCAGGGUUGUCGUCUUGGCAAGCAGAUUCAGUUACCAUAUUCACAUAGUGAGUCAGUGUCUAAGCGUCCUUUCGAUUUAGUCCAUUCUGAUGUAUGGGGUCCGGCUCCUUUCGCUUCGAAAGGUGGUCAUAAAUACUAUAUUAUUUUCAUCGAUGAUUUUUCUCGUUACACAUGGCUUUAUUUCAUGACUUCUCAUAGUGAGGUGUUGUCUAUUUAUAAGCGUUUUGCUGCCAUGGUUCAUACUCAGUUCUCUUCACCCAUUCGUGUUUUUCGUGCUGACUCCGCUGGCGAGUAUAUCUCUAAGAUGUUGCGUGGUGUCCUUGCUGAGCAGGGUACUCUUGCCCAGUUCUCUUGUCCUGGUGCUCAUGCUCAGAAUGGCGUGUCUGAGCGCAAGCAUCGUCACCUUCUUGAGACGGCUCGUGCGAUGAUGAUCGCCGCCUCUCUUCCGCCUCAUUUUUGGGCCGAGGCUAUCUCCACUUCCGCCUAUCUCAUCAACCUUCAGCCGUCCGCUGCUUUGCAGGGUGGUGUUCCUUUUGAGCGUCUUUUUGAUAGUUCUCCCGAUUAUUCGAUGCUUCGCUUGUUUGGUUGUGUUUGCUAUGUUCUUCUUGCCCCUCGCGAACGCACCAAACUGACCGCUCGGUCUGUUGAGUGUGUCUUCUUAGGCUACAGUGAUGAGCAUAAGGGCUAUCGUUGUUGGGAUCCUAUCGGUCGUCGGAUGCGUAUCUCUCGAGACGUGACUUUUGAUGAGUCUCGUCCUUUCUACCCACGCCCAUCUUCCUCGAUUUUUUCAGUGGAGGAUAUCUCUUUCCUCACUUUUCCUGACUCACCUAUCACCCCCGUCGCGCCUGUGCCUAUUCGUUCCACUCCCUCUGCUUCUCCACCCCUCGUCGAUUUGCAGCCACCAUCUUCCCCGGUCUCCUCACCUAGCAUGUCACCGGAUUCUACACCUUCAUCUCCGGUGACUUCUUCGUCGCCACCCCCCGAUUCUACCUUGGCAAUUCCUCCUUCUAUUGUUCCAUCUUUUCCUCAGCAUUACACUCGUCGUUCACGACCUGUGGAUGCUUCCUUGGAUGAGUCGUCCUCUUCCUCUCAGCCUACUUAUGGCUUGCAUUCUCGUCCUCGUCCGCCUAUUGAUCGCUUUGGAUUUCCCACCGCUGGUGCUGCUGUUCUUGAGCCGACUUCUUACUGUCAGGCUGUUGUUCAUCCUGAAUGGCAGUUUGCGAUGGCAGAGGAGAUUGCUGCUCUUGAACGCACUGGUACCUGGGAUCUUGUUUCUCUUCCUCCCGGAGUCCGUCCCAUCACUUGUAAGUGGGUCUACAAGGUUAAGACUCGCUCUGAUGGUUCUCUUGAGCGUCACAAAGCUCGUCUCGUGGCUCGUGGUUUUCAGCAGGAGCAUGGUCGUGAUUAUGACGAGACUUUUGCUCCUGUGGCCCAUAUGACCACUAUUCGUACACUUCUUGCCGUUGCCUCUGCACGCCACUGGUCUAUAUCUCAGCUUGAUGUUAAGAAUGCCUUUCUUAAUGGUGAGCUGCGUGAGGAGGUGUACAUGCAGCCACCACCUGGGUAUUCUGUUCCUGAUGGCAUGGUAUGUCGUCUUCGUCGCUCUCUCUAUGGCCUUAAGCAAGCCCCUCGCGCCUGGUUUGAGCGUUUUGCCUCUGUGGUCACUACUGCUGGUUUUUCAGCAAGUGCUCAUGAUCCAGCAUUGUUUAUUCACCUUUCUCCUCGUGGCCGGACUCUUCUUCUUCUCUAUGUUGAUGACAUGGUCAUCACUGGGGAUGACCCCGAGUAUAUUGCCUUUGUAAAGGCCCGUCUUAGUGAGCAGUUUCUUAUGUCUGAUCUUGGACCUCUUCGCUACUUUCUUGGGAUUGAAGUCUCUUCUACCUCUGAUGGCUUUUUUAUAUCCCAGGAAAAGUAUAUCCAGGAUCUUCUUGCUCGUGCUGCUCUUACUGACGAGCGCAUUGUUGAGACUCCUAUGGAGCUCAAUGUUCACCUCCGUGCUACUGAUGGUGAUCCUCUCCCUGACCCGACGCGUUAUCGUCAUCUCGUUGGCAGUCUUGUCUAUCUAGUUGUCACUCGUCCGGACAUCUCUUAUCCGGUUCAUAUUCCGAGUCAGUUUGUCUCUGCUCCCACAUCGAUUCACUAUAGUCAUCUCCUUCGUGUUCUCCGAUAUCUUCGGGGCACGAUCUCUCGCCGUCUAUUCUUUCCUAGCUCCAGUUCUUUACAGCUUCAGGCCUAUUCGGAUGCGGUGGGCUAGUGAUCCUUCUGAUCGCCGUUCACUUUCUGCUUACUGUGUUUUUCUUGGCGGUUCUCUCAUUGCCUGGAAGACGAAGAAACAGAUUGCAGUUUCCCGUUCGAGUGCUGAGGCUGAGUUGCGAGCCAUGGCUCUUUUGACGGCAGAGGUGACUUGGUUACGGUGGUUACUUCAGGAUUUUGGUGUUUCUGUCACUACACCGACUCUGCUCUUAUCUGACAGUACAGGUGCUAUUAGCAUUGCGCGCGAUCCUGUGAAGCAUGAGCUCACCAAGCAUAUUGGUGUUGAUGCUUUCUAUGUGCGCGCUGCUGUGCAGGAUCAGGUUAUUGCUCUUCAGUAUGUGCCUUCCGAGUUACAGUUGGCGGAUUUCCUGACGAAGGCCCAGACUAGAGCACAACAUGGCUUUUAUCUCUCCAAACUCAGUGUUGUUCCUCCACCAUGAGUUUGAGGGGGGGUGUUAGAGUUAUAAUAUAGGUCAUGUACCCCUUUGUAUUUAUCCCGUUGUAUAAGGGAUUUCCUGCAUAUGUUCCACACCUGUACAUGUAUAUAUAUCGGCCUAUGGCCUCAUGGGAAUACAAGUUGCUUAUUCCUAACACAAACUAGAGCCACUUGCAGCGCCACCUCGGGGAAGCUCGAGGGCUGGUUUUAGUUGUACGUAGUGUUCAUCCGGUGUGCCCUGAGAACGAGAUAUGUGCAGCUCCUAUCAGGAUUUGUCGGCACAUUCGGGCGGCUUUGCUGGUCUUGUUUUACCAUUGUCGAAAUGUCUUGUAAACCGGGAUUCCGAGACUGAUCGGGUCUUCCCGGGAGAAGGAAUAUCCUUCGUUGACCGUGAGAGCUUAUAAUGGGCUAAGUUGGGACACCCCUGCAGGGUAUUAUCUUUCGGAAGUCGUGCCCGCGGUUAUGAGGCAGAUGGAAAUUUGUUAAUGUCCGGUUGUAGAGAACUUGACACUUGACUUAAUUAAAAUACAUCAACCGUGUGUGUAGCCGUGAUGGUCUCUUUUCGGCGGAGUCCGGGAAGUGAACACGGCUUGGGUUAUGUAUGAACGUAAGCAGUUUCAGGAUCACUUCUUGAUCACCUCUAGCUUCGCGACCGUUGCGUUGCUUCUCUUCUCGCUCUCAUUUGCGUAUGUUAGCCACCAUAUGCUUAGUGCUUGCUGCAGUUCCACCUCAUUACCCCAUCCUUUCCUAUAAGCUUAAAUACUCUUGAUCUCGCGGGUGUGAGAUUGCUGAGUCCUCGUGACUCACAGAUUCUACCAAAACAAUUGCAGGUGCCGACGAUACCAGUGCAGGUGACACAACCGAGCUCAAGUGGGAGUUCGACGAGGAACUUGGUCAUUACUAUGUUUUGUUUCCUGAUGAUCAGUAGUGGAGCCCAGUUGGGACGAUCGGGGAACUAGCAUUUGGGGUUAUCUUCUUUUCUUUUGGAUUUGACUGUAGUCGGUCUAUGUGUGUAUUUUGGUUGAUGUAUGAAUUAAUUUAUGUAUUGUGUGAAAUGACGAUUGUAAGCCAACUCUCUUUAUCCCAUUCUUGUUCAUUACAUGGGAUUGUGUGAAGAUGACCCUUCUUGCGACAAUACCUGCAAUGCGGUUAUGCCUCUAAGUCGUGCCUCGACACGUGGGAGAUAUAGCCGCAUCAUGGGUGUUACAUGCCCCAUGGGCAAUAUAGAAAAUUCACGGUCAAAUCUACAAUUUCACAGCUGUUUUACCAAACAGCUUCCAGCUUUUCCACAGCAGCAUUUUCACAUCAGCUUUUCUACAGCAGCUAUUCCACAACAGCUUUUUCAGAAUCUACAGCUCAACCAAACACAGCCUUAGUCCAUUAAUCAUCACUACAAAACGACCAGAUAACCUCAUGUUCAGUAUUUUUGUUUUGUUUUAACUGUGAAAAUUAAAAUCUCUCAAACACUGCCUCUGUUUCGCUAUCUCCCUCCAGUUUCACCGCCUCGUACCCUUUCCUAUGUUUCAUCAACAACAUGUUUAAUUUGGACAAAAUUAAUAAUCAUCCGCAAGAAUUUUGGAAGAGUUGUUUUUUCAGCCUUAUAUCAUUCUUCAACCAUCUGUCAGUGGUUAGUUCAGUUGUUACAUUAUAUCCUGCGAGGGAUCUACACUGCAUGUGCAGGAUAGCGUAUUGCAAGCACAGGAAAAUUUUAAGCCCACAUAUAGAAAUGAUUGUAGAGUUCCAUGUUAACUUGAAAACAUUGAUUCAAGAAGUUUCAGAUAACAUUCAAGAAAAAGAAUCAGAUAACAUGCACAUCUUGAGAGCAAAUAAAUGAAUUUCAUAUACAAAAAUAUAAAAUAGAAACAAAAUUGUAAGCACGACAAAUGAAAUUAGAUAGUAAUUAACUAGGAGAUGAUAAGUAAAAUGAAGAGCCUAUAAGCAUACGAGUGGCUAAGGGAGAUAUGGCAUUGUCCACAACCACUGGAUGGAUGAUUAUGAGAUAGGAUCAAAGAUUUCGGAUGGCUCAGAUAACUUGUGCCUUUAUACUGGUUUAGCUACAGAUAUAUGCUUGAGUUCAAGGUGUGGAAUCUACUUAGAUAUAUAUUUAUGAUUACAAAACACUUUUUACAUGGCUCCGGAGAAGUGGUUGUUAUUAGUUAACAUAUUCAGCAAGGCCCAGAUUUGUAGUGGUCACAGUUCAUGGCUCUGCACAAACAACUGCGCCCGCACAGAUAAGGAAGUGGAAGCGGUGCCUGCGACAGGGUAUAACACAGGAGGGCAGAAGGUGGUGCCUGAGAUGGGGUAGAACAUAAGAGGCAAAGCCUGCAACGGGACAGACCACAGCAGGCAGCACUGCCAUGGGGCCAAACAACAGGAUGUAAAGAACAGGAGGUGAUCCGGCCAUAUGGCAGAACAGGACGACACAAGUGGAUUUCACCAGCGACGGCGACACAGCAGGUCAACGGAAUCUUGCAAAAACGAUGUAUUGAUGGGGGCGAUUUGGUAUCAUCAGAGUCGAGAACUGUGAGGGCAAACAUUUCCAUGCAAUUCGAAGGACCUGAGCUUGGUACUGGGCAGGAUUCCUAGUUGUCAACCAAAAUCCAUGGAGGUGGGUCCCAAAUGCUAUUCCGAUUUCAUUAUGAUCCAAACAACUGGUAUUACUGAGAGGCACAAUUCCUGGUCCCCAAUACUCAGCUUAAUUCCAAUAUCCCAGUAAUUGGUUUACCUUCUAGCCAAGCCAACUACUAAAAGGAUUCUGAAGGUUAAUUUCUUCUAGGUUAAACAACCAUGCCAUAUAACUCCAUAAAUUUGUUAAUUAACUCGUACUAGCAGAGUGUCUACAAAAAUAAAAAUGCUCACUACUACCAGCUUGCAUUUUUCACCUUCCUGUUUCCAAAUAUUAUUACUGUAUAGUCACUAAAAUUUCUCAUCACAUAUUAGGAAACUUGGUUUUAUAAACUGGGAAAAGAGAAUUUCGAUGUUCAGAUUUCAGAUUCUGCAAACAUUAAAAUGUAAUAAUCGGGCCAUCAGAAGGGUAGCAUCAGAAUCAACAUUCAUUAGACAAAUAUGACCUCCAGCAUAUCCUGUUGAAUUGACAUGUCAAGGCAUUUCAGAUGAAUUUAAUAUGCACCUAAGCAAGGCCAUGGCCACCCAAGUGAGUCCUAUCACACAUAUCAUGUAGCAGGAAUACCAAAUAAACAUAUUAUCUAAUGUUUGUUAGUAGAAUCAUUUACCUCAACAUAACAGAUGCCUUGAGGAUCAGAAGUUCCAAUGAGAACAAGAUCACAUGGGAUCUCAUCAUUCUCAUGGAGCCACACUAUAUUUCCGACAUGUAUCCCCCUUGCUUUGAUCUGAAAAUACAAAUUAGUAUUGUACAAUCAAAUAUUCAUCAAUCUAAACCCAAGUAGCCCUAAGUAGAACCAUUUGAAAUAGGCAGAAUUGUUCUACGACAACACAAAUGUGUGGUGGUUGCUGAACGUCAAUCUAAAAUCAACAAUUCACUGAAGACUCUACAAAAAAAUAUGGUCAUUUACUAUAGAAGGCCCAGUAAAAUAUUGUUGGUUCCAAAUCUAGUGAAGAGAAGAUGUGUAGGAUGUCAAUCUUAGAUCUUAUUCAGUUCGAUACGUCCAAAUAUUGAAAGAACUCCUAACAAUUAGCCAUCAAAUCUGAUAAUUCGACCAUCUAUAAUCAACUAUUAAGCCUUUGAUUAGAGUAUUUGACAAAUAAGAUUUUUCCUCAUCCCUGCUCUCUCCUAAAUCUCAGAAUAGUAUCUGUUUUUCAAGGGACAUGGCAUGUUCUGUCAAAUGACCAUGAUUAUUGAUUCUGAAAUGUUGAUUACAAAAUAAUCAAUUGUUCAGUGUCCUCAGCAAACAUCAUACUUUUGCAGUGUCCCAGAGUUAAAUUUUCCUAAGAAAUACAACUUCAUCCAUUUAGCCAAACAUGAAAGAUACACUGACAAGUGACAACUCCUAUAAUCCGUUCACUCUCGCUGAUAUCGAUGAUCCAUAAGGCACACGUAACAAUGCACUGUUAGGUCUUUACAGUACACAGAUGGACAUACAAGUUCCAGCACAAGCAAUAGCUAAGCAAAUUACAAGUGAGUGCAAGAAACUUCAAGCUUUAGGCUUUAUACUUUGAAACAAUUUGUGGUGCCGACUGCCAAACUGAACAAUUGAUAUCAGAUUAUGGCUGACAAACAGAAGUGAUGAUGAACGCAAAUAUUGACACAACUUGUAACAGGCUAAGGAGGAUGUUGAAUAAAUGUUGGUAGAGAAAGGGGGGAAAACCUGUCUACGGAUGCCAUCCUUUACCACCCAGAUUCUCCUUUCAUUUACUUUCUUGUCGGAAAGAUACCUAUUGUAAUCAUCCCAAGCCUCUUUUGAAGCAGAAACAAUGAAGAUUAUGGCAAGCGGGCCCCAUGUAGUUGCAGGACUUACAGGAGUAAUAGUGGGCCACAACUGAAGGCAGGCGAUUAGCAGAAAAUACUGAUUCAUGAAACGCCUGAAAUAUUUAGAGAAGUGAACAUGGAAGAAAUGUAAUUUAAUGCAGAAAUAGUGACGGAAUAAAUUCACUAGAAAAGGAAACAGGAUGGUUUUGUCGGGUUUUUGACAAAGUGCUAAAAAAGAUGAUGGGUCUCAUGUACGUUGCAGGUCAGAGUACCUAACUUGAAUGGUAGAGUGUGCAAAAAUACCAAAACAGUAUAAAAUAACUGAGAACCUGACCUGAAUUGUUCCAAUAAAUUCUUAGGGAGAAAAUUCCACAAGGUGUAUUUGGUAUUGGAAACCCGAUUGUCACGGUAGGAAUCCCGGCAGGACUCAUCGUUGAUAUAUACAAAACGUUGCAUUUUUCAGCUAGAUGUCACUUCCGUGCCAUUUAAUGCACUGCACAUUGAUCACUCUGACAGAAAGAGACAGUCAAAUAUGAACAUAAAAAGGGAUAUGAUAACGACAGUACAAGUACCAAAUUGUAAGAUAUGCUUGCGUUUGAGAAUGCAUUUUUAUGUGUUUCCUGAAAUUUUAAAUCCAGCUUAAUUCAAGAGAAGAUGAAUCUUGCAAAUCCUCGUGGCAGUGGCUAAUCAUGUAUCUACGUGCUGCUUCUCGGCUCUUCUUACCUAAAGAAGGCAGCACGCAACUGCUAAGAAAUCUAAAACAUACAGCCAUAUAUGGAUGCUACUAUGGAAACAAACUAUGCAUACACACACACAUUGGUUUGAGAUUUGCUAUAUAGAACUGCGCAGCCUCAUAAGGAGCAGAAAAAGUGAAAACAAAUUGCUACAGAUACAGAUUAGUACGCGAUGCCCCACAGAUGCUCUUAAGAAUGGAAUCCUACUAUCCCAAUCCUGAAUAAUGGGUAUCAAAUUGACGGGAUAUGCUCACCACACAUCGCAUUCCACUUCGCGUGCCCGCGAACGUCGUCGUCCGGUGCUCGGCGGCCGCGGCGGCGGCUGGGGGUGCCCUCUUCAAACCUGCGUCCUAGCGGAUCGCGGAAUCUUAGGGAAGAGGAGUCAGGGGUGGCCGAGACGAGGGUUGCGGGUGCGGGUGGCAGGGGGUGUCGGUGGGUCAAGGAAUCGGGAGCUUUGGCUCUCGGAGAAGACGCCGUUGGUGCCCUCGAGUCUCGAGACUCCGGAGUCUCUAGAGAAAGGCGGCGCCUCAAGGAAGAAAAAACGAAAUGGAAGAAAAAUAACGGGGUAUCAGCAUAUGCCCUUCCGCGGUUCCGCCCCUGUGUCUACAACCGGACCCCAAAAGCCCCGGAGGGCUGCGUCCGGACAAAAAAUUGAUGUCCAAUUGAACGCUCUACUUCCUUCGUCCGAUGAAAAGUGUACGUUUGCCUUUUGAAUUUGUCCAGAAAAAAGUGUACUUCUAUCUUCUCAAUACACUUUUAAAGGAGAAAAAAUGAUUUUCUCUCAUAACACGGUGAUCAAGACCAAUAACAUUCUACACUUGGUUUUCUUAAUUUCUACAUGAACUUAGCUCAUUGGGGUUGGAUAAUUAAAGAGGAGAGGGAUGGUGGCUUGCAUCUUUUCAAUGCAUUUUUUACUCCACUUCAUAAUUUAUCCUAAAAUUUCUAUAUGUACACUUUUCAUCAGACGGAGGGAGUAUUCGAUCCAAACGUUUGAACUGACCGGCACUUCUUAUAAUCGGUUCAUAUCUAGGGCAGAUAUGAUACGUACAGCGCUUGUUGUUUGACUCAUCGCUAGGGUCCGAUUUUAAAGAAGUCAUUAUCAAGCUUGAAGCAGUGGCAUCGAAGAACUCAUAGAUCUGACAUGCUCUCUUUGGCAUGCCAGAUUCAUAUAAUGGCAUCAUUAUGCUCCAACGAUCUCCUUUGUUCAAGAAACAUUAUGAUGGGGAAGCUUCACCAUGCAACUACACCAUCAACGGAAACAACUACACCAUGGGGUGCUACCUUACCGAUGGUAUAUAUUCUCAGUGGGCGGCAUUUGUGAAGACCGUAUCUGAUCCUGAAGGUAACGAACAAAACCGCUUUACAAUAAUGCAAGAGGCGGCUAGGAAGGAUGUGGAGAGAGCAUUUGGAAUGUUCCAAGCUCCACUACUAGAAAAUACAUUAUAGAUAGAUGCUUAGCAGUAGCGAGGGGUAUAUGGGCCGCGCUGCUGCUAAUUAGUAGUAGUAUGGGGUCUACACCCCUCUACUACUAAGUUGAUAGUAGUAGCGCGGGGCGUAAACCCACGCUGCUACUAAGUGGUCUCCACCAUACCCCUCGGGACAUCCUGUCCCUUUUUAAUGGAUUUACCCCGUGGAACCCGAGGUUUUUGGUGCAUAGUAGUAGCAAGGGGAAUAAACCCCGCGCUACUACUAAGUUGAUAGCAGUAGCGCGGGUUAUAAACCCACGCUGCUACUGAGUGGUCUCCAUCGUGCCCCUCGGACAGGCCAUAGUAGUAGCGAGGGGUAUAAACCCCGCGUUGCUACUAAGUACAAGGUUUUUUAACAGCCCUGAAAUCUCCCAUCUCCCCCCGAAUCCCUCCUCUCUCCAUAGGCUCUCCCAUGGGGCUCCUGCCCAUGCGCGCCUCCUCCUCCAUGGCGCCGAAGGAGGCCUCCGCCUCGCGCCGCCGGCGUCCAGGAGCUCGUCGGUCUUCCCCUGCGUCUCCAUGCCGCCACGCCGGAGCACCUCACCACCGGCGAUCAUCCCCGCUGCUCCCUCCAUCUCCUCCCUCUCCCCCUCAUUUCUCUUUUUCUCUAUCUUCCUCUGGUUUGACUCACCCUCCCAUGUCCAUGCUCGUGCAAGUCGUCGCCAUGGACGACCAGGAGCUCUCUGCCUUGGCCGCGAAGAGGAGCCCCACACCGCCGCCUUACUCUGCCCUGGAUCCGGGCUCCGACAGCCACCGCCGGAUCUAGUCUGCCACUACCCGUCUGCGCCUUCGGCGACCCCUGUCGUCGCUAGAUCGAACCAUUGCCGCCAUUGACAGCACGCACGGGGUCGAGAUUUUUUUUUUGAAAUUAAUAGUAGUAGCACGGGGUAUAGGACACUCGCUAUAGGACACUUGCUGUUUUCAGCAGAAUUAUCAUGGUGUUGUUUUUUGUGCGAAAAUAAAAGUUCUCAGAAUUGAGCAAAGACCCACCAUUAUGGCACGGAAAGUGGUGGGUUGCGGCGUUAAACCGCCAUUAACCGGAGCGGCGGCGCGACUGUCAUGGGUGUAAGUCUGACAAUAGUGUAUAGGGGUACGAAUUAGAGGGCAGAGCCUAGCUAGGGUGCAGUUGUUACACUCGGAUUUACGAGUUCAGGCCCCUCAUGUGUAGGUAAUAGCCCUACGUCUCGGUGCUCUAGAGCUGUUUUGAUGCAGUGUAUGGUUUACAGAAGAUGUGAACCCUUGUCACGGAGCAGGGGGAGGCUUAUAUAGAGUUCGCCCUCGCCCAUGAAUGUUGUCGUUACCAAGGGUUUAAGGAGGAGUUUAAGGGCGCCAGUUACUGGUAAUGGGCGCACUAAAUACAUUUGAUGAGGGCAGACGCACGUCCUGACCGUUAUGAUCCCGGGGAGCCUCCUGGUCUUCUCUAUCCGAGUGUUGACAGGUUCUCCAAGUGAAGUGGUCCGGUCGAGUGGAGUGCUAUCUUCCGAGUGAUUAGUGACUUCCAGUGACCGUCAGGUUGCAGAGUAUUUGAAUGCUGGUUUGGCCCUGGGGCCCAGUGUAAGGUGUGUGGUGUCCUAGGGUAGGGUCUGUAGGUCAGGCCUGUUACCCUACCCUUAGUACAUGUUGAUACGUCUCCAACGUAUCUAUAAUUUUUUAUUGUUCCAUGCUAUUAUAUUAUCCAUCUUGGAUGUUUAAUGUGCAUUUAUAUGUUAUUUUAUAUGAUUUUUGGGACUAACCUAUUAACCUAGAGCCCAGUGCCAGUUUCUGUUUUUCCUUGAUUUUGAGUUUCGCAGAAAAGGAAUAUCAAACGAAGUCCAAAUGAGCUAAAAAAUUACGGCGAUUUUUUAUGGACCAAAAGAAGCUCACGAAGCAAAAGAGUUGGGCCAGAAGAGCCACGAGGCCUCCACACGGGUGGAGGGCGCGCCCUACCCCCCCUGGGCGCGCCCUCCGUCCUUGUGGGCUCCUCGUGGACCCCCUGACUUGUUCUCGAUGCCAAAAAUUCCUAUAAAUAUAGAAACCCCCAGAAAUAAACCUAGAUCGGGAGUUCCGCCGCAAGCCUUUGUAGCCACCAAAAACCAAUCGGGACCCUAUUCCGGCACCCUGUUGGAGGGGGGAAUCAUCACCGAUGGCCAUCUUCAUCAUCCCGGUGCUCUCCAUGAUGAGGAGGGAGUAGUUCACCCUCGGGGGCUGAGGGUAUGUACCAAUAGCUAUGUGUUUGAUCUCUCUCUCUUUCUCUCGUGUUCUUGAUUUGGCACGAUCUUGAUGUACUGCGAUCUUUGCUAUUAUAGUUGGAUCUUAUGAUGUUUCUCCCCCCUCUACCCCUCUACCUUCUUGUAAUGGAUUGAGUUUUCCCUUUGAAGUUAUCUUAUCAGAUUGAGUCUUUAAGGAUUUGAGAACACUUGAUGUAUGUCUUGCAUGUGCUUAUCUAUGGUGACAAUGGGAUAUUCACGUGAUCAACUUGAUGUAUGUUUUGGUGAUCAACUUGCGGGUUCUGUGACCUUGUGAACUUAUGCAUAGGGGUUGGCACACGUUUUCGUCUUGACUCUCCGGUAGAAACUUUGGGGCACUCUUUGAAGUUCUUUGUGUUGGUUUGAAUAGAUGAAUCUGAGAUUGUGUGAAGCAUGUCGUAUAAUCAAACCCGCGGAUACUUGUGGUGACAUUGGAGUAUCUAGGUGACAUUAAGGUUUUGGUUGAUAUGUAUCUUAAGGUGUUAUUUUAGUAUGAACUCUAGGGCUGUUUGUGACACUUAUAGGAAUAGCCGAAUAGAUCGAUCAGAAAGAAUAACUUUGAGGUGGUUUCGUACCAUACAAUAAUCUUGUGACGCCCGGAUAAUUAUGCUACAGUAAACCUACGUUGAUGAUGCCACGUCACCUCUGUUAGUGUUGAUAAUCACGCGUUAGUUCAAAAACCAAUUCAAAUUCAAAAUUUAAUAAAAGGCAAACAAACAAAAGUUUUCAAACUUUAAAACUAAAAUGUUCGGGUUGUGUCAAAUAAUGCGCAGGUAAUUAUGGUGGAGAACCACACUUUUAUAAAAUGUUCAAAUAUUCAAAUGGUAAUAAAACAGUAGCAAAACUAUUAUUUAAAUACUUUAAAUACUAAAAAACUUACAAAGUAUUUUAUUUUAGGUGCCAAGUUAAUUGUGGCAGUGGACUAAUUAGUAAUACUAAUUUAGGUGCUCAUUUGGCAUUUUAUAAAACUAAAAUAAUAGGAGGAACAAAAUAUAAUAGAAAAGAAAUAAUUAAAAAAAACAACAAAAACCAAAAAAUAGAAAGAACUCCCGCUCGGCCCAACUGGGCCAUGGCCCAGCCAGGCCGACCCAACUCCCUCCCCCGGCCCAACCGCG
rnacentral:lncRNA from 1 species